rnacentral:lncRNA from 1 species
UCUCAUAUAAAGAUCUGUGCAUAUUUCCAGGCGUAUAUCUUUCUUUUGAUUUUAAAAUGCCGAAGUUUGAGAAGUAUGAUGGACAUGGUGAUCCUGUAGCACAUUUAAGACGCUAUUGCAACCAGCUAAGGGGCGCUAGAGGGAAGGAAGAACUACUCAUGGCUUAUUUCGGGGAGAGUCUUUCAGGCCUAGCUUCGGAAUGGUUUGUUGAUCAAGACAUUGACAAGUGGAUUAGUUGGGAUGACCUAGCUAAUGGAUUUGUUCAACAAUUUCAAUACAAUGUGGAGUUGAUACCUGACGAAAAAUCCCUAACUGGUAUAAAAAAGAAGAAUACUGAGAGUUUCAGGGAGUAUGCGAUCAGAUGGCGCGAACAAGCUGCUAGAGUAAAACCGCCAAUGAAAGAAAGCAAGAUAGUGGAGGUGUUUAUUCAAGCGCAAGAUGAAAAAUAUUAUCAACACUUGUUACCUGCAUUAGGUAAGCCAUUUAUUGAGGUCCUCAAAAUGGGGGAGAUGAUAGAGGAUAGAAUUAAGACUGGUCGCAUUGUGAGUUUUGCAAUAUUGAAAGCGACUACUCAAGCAAUUCAAAAAGGUUCGGGAAGUGUGGGAGGAAAGAAAAAUAAGGAAGAUGCAUCUGCCAUUGCAGUUGGACAACAGGCAUGGGCAAGAGGACCAUACCAUCAUUACCCACGAGCUCAAACACAAGUUUAUGACCAAGCUCCACAGAAUCUUUACCAAAAUCCAUUAUAUCUCAUUCCCCCACCUCCAUAUUAAGUGUAUAAUGCGCAACCUUAUAUUUAACCUCUAUCUUACCCAUACUGGUGUGCGCCAACUCUGCCGAGUCAUCCUCCAACACCAUAUACAUACCGAAUCCCUUCUAAGCCUGGUUUUCAAUUUAAGACAAAUAAUGAAAUAAGACAGAAGUCAUGGGAUAGCGUCACACCCAUUGGAUAGUCGUAUACAAGUUUAUUCCAGAGAUUAGUACAGUAGGGCAUGAUUACUCCUCUCCUUGGGUAUACUCCUGACCCACAUUCAAGAAGUUUUUAUCCUAAUUUAUGAUGUACAUAUCAUUCCAAUGUUCAGGGUCAAAGUAUUGAAGAUUGUUGUACUUUAAAAAGAGAAAUUGAAAAGAUGAUUCAAGAUAAAUCAAUCAUGGUGCAGAACAUUGAUAGUGAGGAAAGAUCUAGUCAUGCUGAUAUGCAAAUCAGUGGCUAAGAUGUCAGGCUGAGCAAUUGAGAAGUCACCCCUCUCCUUACUAGGAAGGGGUUUGGUAGCUUGUUUUGUUUUAUUUUUCUGUUCUCCGAAUUAUUUCAGGGUUAUAGUUCGGGAUCUGUCUUAUUUUGUCCUUUUGUUGUUUAUGUUCAAACUCUUCUAUCUUUUGUUUCGAAUAAAUGAAGUGUGUCAUUUUCCUUUGUGUUUUAAAUAUGGGUUGUUUGUUUAUUUUCUUUACAUAGUACAUUUUGUGUUAACUCUAGUGAUAUGACAUGCUAGUAAAAUUUUCAGCCAGAUCUUAAAAUUCAAUUUAAGCAUGAACAUUGAAUCAGAGGGUUAAAUUUAGAAAAAGAGAGCAUAUGAGAAAAUAGAUAGAGUGCUGAGAUAUUUGGUGACAAGUUAAGGCAAUUAUUUUGAGAAUCACAAGAAUAACUUGGUCAUCGAUCGAAAGAUAAGUCCUAAUUUGGUCAAAUAAUGGACGUGUGAUCCCUAUAUCAAGAGAAACAAGAAGAUAAGCAGCUCCACGAAAUCAUGAGUCAUUUGAUGUGAGGAAUGUACAACAAAGGUGGAGUUUACAAAAGAAGUAGUGACACACAGACUCAAUCUGCUUACAAAUAUGUCGCAAAUGAUCUUCAUCUCUCGCUUCCAAUUGCAUAUUAUGUACUUGCAUUCUCAAGGAUCGAUAUGAUGAAGGCAUUUUAUUCUGCUAUCCAAACAUUGUGUCAUCCUUUGUUUACCCCAUUUGAGCUUUAGUGUUAUUUUCUUUCAUACCCCUCUUUUGGAAUCAAGAUAGAGUAAGCAAAGUUCAAAGAACAGUGUCGAGUAAAAAGAUAAAGUCAAAAAGUUACAAAAAAGAGACAAUGUUUCCAAAAAAGAGUGUCAAGAAAAAUAGAGUUAGAAAAAAGAAUCGCAAAGUGAAAAGAGCGAAUAAAAGAAAAAAAAGAAAAAUCAAAUCAAAUCAAAAGAACAAGCUGCCAGAACUAUGCGUGACCUGAUUCUCCUCUCUCGGGGGUGAGAUACGUAGGCUUCCCUACUCUGGGCUCGGUCCAACAAAAUAAAUAAUUUAUAAUUAGCCAGUCAAAAGAAACUGGGGCAUGAGUCAAUCCUCAUUGUUUGAGUCGAUUCCAAAAGUUAUAAGUCCCACCCCACUUCAAGUGUCGUUUGGGCCCCAUGUCAUCCUUUCUUUCUAACCCUAUCCAAAAGUCAAAUUACAACUAAAGAAAGACCUUCAGAUUAAUCUUUAAGAAUGUUAAGGCUAAGCAUGCAAUGGAUGUGAUGACGCAUUUUGGAAACUACUUGUCUUUCUCAACAUAAGAAAUCAGGAGAGAAGUAAAAAUGAGAGAGUCUUAUUGGUGAAAACCCUCACGGGCACCGUGAGAUGAGAGGAAUAAAAAUGCGAGAGUCUUAUCGGUGAAAACCCUCACGGGCACUAUAAGGCAACGGUGAGUUGAGACAAAUGAAAAUCAGAGUCUCAUUAGUGAAAAACCCUUAUAGACAUCAUAAGGCAAUGAUGAUCUGAGGAAAAUAAAAUAAGAAAGUCUUGUUGGCUAAAACCUUUCAAGGUGCCACUAGCCGAAUGAGGUCUCUGAAUGCAAUUGACCUAAGAAAGUAACUCAAUUUCAGGGUCAUUACCUCAACAACAAUUGGUAGAAGGUUUGGAUGAAAUGAUCAGGCAGCUUAAUCCAAAUGCAUGGCAUAAUCAUUAGAGUUGAUUGUUAUUUUAGAUAAAUUUUUCAUUUCUUUGUUUCAAAUGGGGACUUUCAUUGUCUUUUCUUUCUUCUCUUUAUCUUUAUUUUUAUUUUCUUGAGUCAGUUAUCCAAAUAAAACAAAAGUUGUUGUCAUUUUUCUCUUGUUUUUGAGUCAAGUCCAUGUCAAAAUAAGUGAGAAAAGAUUUCAAAACUGGCUACCAACUUCUUCAAUUGCACAAAGCAAGACAGAAAGGCCAGCACAUGAAAGAGACAUGAUUGUUAGCCAAAAAAGGGCAUGUAGAAGGUUUUGUCAACAGACAAGUCUGGCAACUCAUGAAAAUACCAAGGUUUAAAGGGUUUAUUCAUGAAGCAUGACAAAGUAGAGAUGCUAUAUUUAUUUCAGAGUCACUCAUCAUAAUCCGAGUUUGGUUCAAUGACACGACAAAGCAGGGACAAAUGCCAAUAAUCUGAAACAAAAUAAAGGGAAUGACCACUAGAGCAAGCAUCGGGAUAGCCAAGUGCCGCAAGCCACCACUAAGUUUUUAAAUGACAAUUUUUUUUGUUGAAACAGGGGCAAAUUCUCUUCACUUAAUUCAGCUACCAUUGGAAAUGCACAUUCAUGAGAUUUUACUUUGAGUUCAGGACCCUCCUGAAGAAUGGGAUUUUACUUUCUGUUCAGGACCCUCCUGAAAAAUGAGAUUUUACUUUUUGUUUAGGACCCUCCUGAAAAAUGGGAUUUUACUUUAUGUUCAGGACCCUUCUGAAAAAUGGGAUUUUACUUUCUGUUUAGGACCCUCCUAAAAAAUAGGAAUUUACUUUAUGUUCAGGACCCUCCUGAAAAAUGGGAUUUUACUUUAUGUUCAGGACCCUCCUGAAAAAUGGGACUUCACUUUCUGCUCAGGACCCUCCUGAAAAAUGAGAGUUUACUUUCUAUUCAGGAUCCUCUUGAAAAAUGGGAUUUUACUUUUUGUUCGGGACCCUCCUGAAAAAUGGGACUUUACUUUAUGUUCAGGACCCUCCUGAAAAAUGGGACUUCACUUUCUGCUCAGGACCCUCCUGAAAAAUGAGAUUUUACUUUCUAUUCAGGAUCCUCUUGAAAAAUGGGAUUUUACUUUUUGUUCGGGACCCUCCUGAAAAAUGGGACUUUACUUUCUGUUCAGGACCCUCCUGAAAAAUGAGAUUUUACUUUUUGUUCAGGACCCUCCUGAAUAAUGGGAUUUUACUUUAUGUUCAGGACCCUCCUGAAAAAUGGGUAUUUACUUUCAGUUCAGGACCCUCCUAGAAAAUGAAAAUUUACUUCAAGUUCAGGACCCUCCUAAAAAAUAGGAUUUUACCUUAUGUUCAGGACCCUCCUGAAAAUGGGAUUUUACUUUAUGAUUCAAGACCCUCUUGAAAAAUGGAAAUUUACUUUAUGUACAAGACCCUCCUGAAAAAUGAGAUUUUACUUUUAGUUUAGGACUUUCCUAAAAAAUGGGAAUUUUAUGUUCAGGACCCUCUUGAAAAAUAGGAAUUUACUUUAUGUCCAGGCCCCUCCUGAAAAAUGGGACUUUACUCUUUGUUCAGGACUCUCCUGAAAAAUGGGAUUAUACUUUCAGUUCAGUACCCUCCUGAAAAAUGAGAAUUUACUUUAUGUUCAGGUCCCUCCUGAAAAAUGGGACUUUACUCUCUGUUCAGGACUCUCCUAAAAAAUGAGAUUUUACUUUUAGUUCAGGACCCUCCUGAAAAAUGAGAAUUUACUUUAUGUUCAGGACUCUCCUGAAAAAUGGAACUUUAAUUUCUGUUCAGGACCCUCCUGAAAAAUGGGACUUUACUUUAUGUUCAGGACCUUCCUGAAAAAUGAGAAUUUACUCUCUGUUCAGGACCUUCCUAAAAAAUGGAACUUUACUUUUUAUCCAGGACCCUUCUGAAAAAUAAGAUUUUACUUUAUGUUCAGGACCCUCCUGAAAAAUGGGACUUUACUUUCUGUCCAGGACCCUCCUGAAAAAUAGGAUUUUACUUUAUGUUUAGGACCCUCCUGAAAAAUAGGAUUUUACUUCCUGUUCGGGACCCUCCUUGAAAAUGGGACAUUACUUUCAGAAAAAUGAAAUCUUUCUUUAUUGUAAUCCUUGUGUGAGAUAUUUUUGUUCUAGUUUUGAUUUUGAUUUCAGGAGGGAUUCCGGCAUUUGUAAGGAGACGCACUUCCUUGUUUAGUUAAUUCAAGAAACAUUUGUAAGGAUACGCACUUCCUUGCUUGGGGUAACUCGAGCAACAUUUGUGAGGAGACGCACUUCCUGGUUUGGACAAUUUGAGAAACAUUUGUAAGGAGACACGCUUUCUUAUUUUGGUAAUUUAAACGCUAUUAUGAGGAGAUGCACUUCCAAAGGAGACACACUUUCUUGUUUUUGUAAUUCAAGCGGCAUUGGUUUGGAGACGUACUUCCUUGUUUGGUAAUUCAAGCGGUAUUUGUAAGGAGAGACACUUCCUUGUUUGGACAGUUCAAGCAACAUUUGUAUGGAGACGCAUUUCCUGGUUUGGGCAAUUCAAGCAACAUUUGUAAGGAGACGUACUUCCUAGUUUGGGCAAUUUGAGCAACAUUUGUAGGAAGACACACUUUCUUAUUUUGGUAAUUCAAGCGGCAUUUGAUAAGGAGACGCACUUCCUUGUUUGGGUAAUUUAAGCAACAUUUGUAAGGAGAUGCACUUCCUAAUUUUGGUAAUUCAAGAAAAAUUUGUAAGGAGACACACUUCCUUGAUUGGUUAAUUCAAGCAAAAUUUUUUAGGAGACACACUUCCUUAUUUUGGUAAUUCAAGCGGUGUUGGUAAGGAGAUGCACUUCCUUGUUCGGUUAAUUCAAGCAACAUUUGUAAGGAGAUGCACUUCCUUAUUUAGGCAAUUCGAGCAACAUUUGUAAGGAGAAGCACUUUCUUGUUUGGUUAAUUCAUGAAAACAUUUCUAAGGAGAUGCACUUCCUUGUUUGAUUAAUUCAAGAAGCAUUUGUAAGGAAAGGCACUUCCUUGUUUGAGUAAUUCAAGCAGCAUUGGCAAGGAGAUGCACUUCCUUGUUUUGAUAAUUCAAGCAACAUUGGUAAGGAGAUGCACUUCCUUGUUUGAUUAAUUCAAGAAGCAUUUGUAAGGAAAGGCACUUCCUUGUUUGAGUAAUUCAAGCAGCAUUGGCAAGGAGAUGCACUUCCUUGUUUUGAUAAUUCAAGCAACAUUGGUAAGGAGAUGCACUUCCUUGAUUGGGUAAUUUGUAUUUUGCUUUUUAAGUGAUGUACUUUCUAACUUAAGUCUUGAUUCCUAGAAUAUGCACUUUCUAGUCGAGUUAUCGCACUUAACCCUAAGGAGACACACUUCCUUGCUAGUUUUCAUUUGUUAGGUGGCACACUUUUUAGCUUAAACUUGUAUCUCUUUAAGACGCACUUUCUAAUUAGAAUCCCUCACUUUAAUUCUUAGGAGAUGCACUUCCUAGUCUUGGUUAUUUAAUUUUACUCUUAAGAGAUGCAUUUCUUAGUCAGAGUCUUGAUUCAUCAUUGCAACAUGCAAGUAGGAAUGAUGUGACUUUUCCAAAAGUCUUCUGAUGAUAAACUGGGGCAAAAAUUCAAUUUCUGUUUUUGAAACUUUACUUUUCUGGUAAAUAAAACCUCUUUAUAAUAAUAUUUGUUUGGGGUAAUUUUCUUUUUAGUUUUGAUGUGAUUUAAGGAGCCUGCCCAAAGCACAACGCGAAUAAAUGAAAAACCAAGCAACAAGGAGAAGAAAUUGAAAGUUAAACAGAUUGAAAAAUAGCAAGUCAGGAGCCCGCCUGUAGAACAAGGUGAAGAAGUUGAAAGCAUGGAAACAAGUUGAUGAAAUAGCAAGUCAGGAACCCGCCUGGAGAACAGGGUGAAGAAAUUGAAAGGCAAGUAACAAGUUAAAGAAAUAGCAAGUCAGGAGCCUGCCUGAAGAAUAGGGUGAUGAACCUAAAGUCAGGAGUCCAACAGAUGUUGUAUAGAUAGGAUUUUUGUAAUUUCAUUUAUGUUUUAACUUGUAUUUUCAUUUUUGACGUAAUGAUAGAGCCGUGGACCGUAGCCUCGAUGGGACCUCACUCGACUCUCCAACUCGGUCGUCCUUCUUCCUUUUGUUUCUUCCCUAUGAAUAAUGGGCGGGGCAAAAUUCUGUCUCGUUGUCUACUUCUUUGUAUGAAAACACUUUGUGUUUACAUGAAAAGAGGGGCAUGAUGUAGACACAUAAUUUUGUCCCUCUCCAAAAGCAUUUUACCAUUUUACCCUCGUCUUAGUGUGUGCCCUCACCCGUGUGAUAACCCCUUCACAAAAGACAAAAAAUAACAAUUCCUAACUAAUUUUAUCUUAUUCUAACAAACCCUCCCUAUUAAAAAUGACACACCACCAUCACCACCCUAACUACCCAUGUGAUCCCCUCCUCCUUUUUCUUGUCCACAAAGAAAGAAUAUAUAGCGGACCCACCAAAAUUCCCACAUGAUAACAAAUCCAUGCCCAUUAUAAAAAAAAAUUCUAAGAGGGAAAAGGGAGGCUCAUUCUUUGAUCAUCAUCUUCUCCACAAUAACAACAAUCACAAAAUAAUCUUCCUCACAAGAACAAGAACAAGAACAACAACAACAAAAAAAGGACGCCGGUGAACAGUAACCGGUGAACAGUAUCGGCGAAUAGUAACGACAUGAAAAGUGAUGGUGAACGGUUCAUUAUUUGUCGAGUUGUAUUGUUGGUGUUAAGGUUCAGCUCAAGGUUUCCGGGUGCGGACUCUGUUUAUGCGAAUAACAUUGAGUUUGAAAGCUUCAAAUUUAAGGUCCAAUUCUUUUUUCUCUUUUAUUUAAUUUUUAUGUGAUUGUGAUUGCGUGUGAUUCGAUACCGUGGUUUGUUUAUUUAUGUGAACUGUUGGUGACAUUUGGGUGUGUGAUGUGCUAAGCAUGAUUGGUAAAUUUUCGUUAUUCUCAAUUGGUGGAUUAUGUAUUGAAAUGGGUUAAUCACGUGGUUGAAAAUGAAUUAAGGUGGGGGUUAAAAAUGGAGGAAAAUGAAUAAUGAUUAAUUUUGUUGUAUUGAUAAUGUUGAACAUGAUAGAAUUGUGAUACGUUGAACUUGGUAGGCAAAUGUAGGCCGGGUAGGCAAAUUUAGGAAUAACGAUUUGUUGGAGUGUUUGAAUAUGUGCGUGAAUGGUACUUUCUACUUUAUUGCAUGAAGAUUUUAAAUUGUACUCAUUUGGUCGGGGAAUGCCCCGAAGGAUUUGUAUUGAUUUAUCCGGGGAAUGCCCCGAAGUAGUAUGUACGUAAAGGAGGCUCGUGAUCAAGGCCCGAAACGUCUGGUGGAUUUUAGUUUAGGAUUAGUUUAGAAUAGAAUAGGUUUUAUAUUUCAGCACCUCUUUUAUUUUGGAUUGUAUAAUUUGGACUGAACAUUAUUUUGGUUUGUUUUGAAUUUUGUGUGAUUUUUUUGUUUGCUUGUUUUUGUGUGUUUAUGUGGUUUGUACAUUUGUAAUGUCAAAGUAGCCGAUACACUCCACCAAGAGACCGUGGUCGAACCACGGGAUCGAGGGGUGCCUAACACCUUUCCCUUGGUUAACAGAAUUCGUUAGCCGAAAUCUCUGUUCGCGGAUCAGUUUUUAGAGUCAAACCAUUUCGAAAAGGAUUUUCCAAAGGUGACUUGGCACACUGAAUUAUGCCAAGUGGCGACUCUGAAUAAGAAAAAAUAAUAAUGUAAAUAAUCCUUUUUUUUAAAACAAUUUUUUUAUUUUUGUCACAUUAAUAAUAAAACCCUUUCGAACUUAAAAUACAUAUCUUUUUUUUGGAGUCGAAAAAGGGGUGUGGCAGCUGUGAGGUAUUGGCAAGGCCUAGGUUUGUUAGUGGUGGGCUCCCCUUUUCUAUUUCUGGUAUGAGAAAAGUGUGUAAUAGAUGGUGAGAGUGAGGUGUUGUCUUUUAAUUAGAGGGGCAGAGGUUAGGUGUCCAUUUUUGCUUGGGUGGGUUGUUGGAAUAUUAGAAUGAAAUAAAGUUUAUUAUGACUUGUUAUUUAGAUAAAACAAAACAAAAACAAAAAUAAAUAUAUAAAUAAGUAAAAGAUGAGGUGGUUAUUUAUUUUCUUGGAAAAAAUUAUAAAAAUAGGGUUAAAUUGUGUGAUAUCGAAAUAAAAAAUAUUUUUGACGGGAUAAAAUUAUGUGUCUACAUCAUGCCCCCUUUGAAUGUAAACACCAAAAGUUUUCAUACAAGAAGUAGACAACGAGACAGAAUAUUAUCCCGAUCGUUAUUUGAAGAAAGCAAUAGAAGAAAGAAGAGCAACCGAGUCUUGACUUAGGACACCCUACCUACCCAAUUUAUGAGGGAGUCAAGCGAUAGGUAUCUCAAAGGAUUGAAAGGAUAUGGACUAUACCAAGUUGGAGAGUCGAAUGAGGUUCCAUCGAGGUUCCGGUCCGCAGCUCUGUCAUUACAUCAAAAUGAAAAUUACAAGUUAACAUAUAAAUGAAAUGAGAAAAUCCUAUAUAUGCAGCUUUCCUUGACUCUUGGCUCGAGUUUUAUCGCCCUAUUCUUCAGGCGGGCUCCUGACUUGCAAUUUCUUUUGACUUGUUGCUUGGCUUUCAAUUGCUUCGCUUUGUUGCUCGACUUUCAUUUAUUCGCCCUGCUCUUUAGGCGGUCUUUUGACUUGCCGUUUUUGUCUUUCAAUUUCAUCACCCUGUUCUUCAGGCGGGUUCCUGGCUUGCAAUUUCUUCAAUUUCACAUUUCAUCACCCUGUUCUUCAGGCGGGCUCCUGACAUAUAAUUUUCUCACCCUGUUCUUCAGGUGGGCUCCUGAAACUAGAAUCAAAACUAGAAUGACAAUUAUCCCAAACAAAGAUUAUAAUAAAGAAGGAUUUCAUCAUUUUUUGAAAGUAAUAUCCUAUUUUCUUAGAGGGUCCUGAACAGAAAGUAAGUUCCAUUUUUCAGGAGGGUCCGUAAGCAACAACUUAAAGAAAUAGCAAGUCAGGAGCCCGCCUAAAGAAUAGGAUGAUGAAACUCAAGUCAAGAGUCCAAAAGAGGCUGUAUAGAUAGGAUUUUUGUAAUUUCGUUUAUGCUUUAACUUGUAAUUUUCAUUUUUAAUGUAAUGACAGAGCCGUGGACCGGAACCUCGAUGGAACCUCACUCGACUCUCCAACUCGAUAUAGUCUAUCUCUUUCCAAUCCUUUGAAAUACUCGUGACUUGAUUCUCACAUAACUUGGGUAGGUAGGAUGUCUUAAGUCAAGACCCGGUUGUCCUUCUUCCUUUUGUUUCUUUCUUUGAAUAAUGAUCGGGUAAAAAUUUGGUCUCGUUGUCUACUUCUUUGUCUAAAAACACUUUGUGUUUACAUUCAAAGGGGGCAUGAUGUAGACACUUAAUUUUGUCUCUCCCGAAGUCUAAUUUUAUUCAUUUUUAGUUCACCUCACCAUGUGUCCAACCCUAUGUAAUUAUAUCCCACAAAAAUACAAAAAUAAACAAAAACAAUACCUCUAACUAAUUUAUCUUAUCCUAACAACCUACCCAAUCAAAAGCUUCCACCUCCCUACCCACUCACAUUUUUUUUCCCACAAUAACAAACUAAAAGAAGGGGGACCACAGGUACACCUAGCAAAAAGGACCCAUUUUAUCACCAUCUUCUUCUCUAUAUAUUGGGAACAUACAGACCCCAAUUUUUCUUCUUUUCUUCUUUACUCACAAUCUCACACAUAGGGAAAUUUCCAUAGACACACACCAAAGCCUCACCAUACACACACAUACGAUAGAGUUCAAGGGAGGAGAGGAUGAUCGACUCCAUUUUUUCAUGAAAAGGCACACACACAGUUCAUACACAAAGAUAACCAAAUACACAGACCAUCACAAAAAUUCACACAGUUCAUACACAAAGAUAACCAAAUACACAGACCAUCAAAAAAAUUUACAUACACUGCUCAGACACGAAAGAGGGAUUUCACCAGAUUCUCAAAGGAAUUCACCCACACUCACUAUCACAAAUUAAGGAAUAUGCACACAGUCACUGGGAUUUCAACCCUUAACACACACAAUCCUCCACUAUGUUCGAUUUUCACUACACACUCACACACCAUCAGAGAUUAAGAGAGUGAAGGGAGAUUGAGACAAAAUUGAUCAGAAUUGGAGAAGAAAACAUUAAGAGUGGGAGAUAUUGAGACGAUAGUGAAGAACUAAGAGAGACGAGAUAUACAGUGAGAAAACGGAGGGGGAAGAAAAGAUAAAAGGCAGCUCUGGUUGAAUAUUUCGGCGAUGUUCUCGCCGGAAUCAUCAUCUCAUCUUGUAAUCCAGCUACCUUCUCUCUAAAUCCAUUCAAACCCAUCAAAAACACCCGAUCCUCACCGAAAAUGCAUCAAACCGCUUAAAAAUCCACCAAAAACGUGACCCACUUCUUUUGCUGGCACUGUGGUUGCUAAUUCACACAAGUUCUUGGCCGGAAUUGGAUAUUUUGGGUCGGAUUAGGGCGCUGUAGUUGAAAUUUUGACGUUGUACGCUAAAUCUGGUAUGGGUUCUUGUUAUUCUACGAUUCCUAUGUUCGAUUUGGGGAAAUAGAAAUCAAAGUUGGAUUUGGUUCAUUGUUGAGGUUCAUUGAGUCCGUGAAGCAACUUCCCUCGAAAGAUCUCAUUUGAUAUAAAUUGAGGUCCAAAUUCUCAAACUCUAUCUCUUUUCAUUUUAUAUGUAAUGAUAUCGUUGAUUUGUGUGAUUCAUGUUUGAGUUUGGUGAUUAAUUUUUGAUAGUGUGUUUGAGUUUUCCUUUAAUUGUCGUAGUUCACUUGGUUGAUUUAAUUGAGACUUGCUCAAUAAUGCGGUUGAGAAUUAAUCGGGACGGGGAUUGAAAAUUGGUAAAAAGUGAAUAUUAUGGUAUUUUGGUUCAUUGUUGAUGUUGAAUGUGAUAUGUCGUCAAGCGGGCAGGCAAACAUUAGGUCGGGUAGGCAAAUAUUUAGGAAUAAGUGCAUACUCGUUGAGCUAAUGAAUGCUUGAAAUGCGUUCUGAAUGGUUUGGUUUUAUUGCUUUUGGAUCGAAUAUAUCAUUUAGCCGGGGAAUGCCCUGAGAUACAUUGUAUUUAUUCACCGGGAAAUGCCCCGAUGUACUAUGUUGGCGGAAGACAUUCGUGAUGAAGGCCUGAGGCGCCGGGUAGCCUGGGAGAGUAGUGAGGAUUAGUAUAGGUUAGAUAGGAUUUAUUUUUUGCAUUUUAUUUAUUUUGGGUAUGUAUAAUCGGACUGAACACUAUACUUUGAUUCAUUUUGUUGGGUUUGUUUGUUUGCUUUACGUGCUUCCUUGUGGUUUGUACAUUCUUAGUGUCAAGUUAGCCAAUACGCUACACCAAGCGACCGUGGUCAAACCACGGGAUCGAGGAGUGCCUAACACCUUCCCCUCGGUCAACAUAAUUCCUUAGCCAAAAUCUCUGUUCGCGGAUCAGUUUUAGAGUCAAAAAUCAUUUUGAAAAGGAUUUUUCAAUGGUGACUUGGCUCACCAGAUUAUGCCAAGUGGCUACUCUGAGUUUUUAAAUGUAAAAAUAACCCUUUUUCAGAACAAAUCUUCAUUUUGUCACUUUAAUAAUGAAAACCCUUUCAAAAUUUAAAAUGAAAUUUUUUUUGGAGUUUAAAAAGGGGUGUGACAACCUCAACCACGAACCAAGCUCGAUAUACCUUUUUCUCUAUAUUUCUAGUGACCCAAACAGAAAUCACCCGACCUAGAUUUUGUGCGAACCAAACCCGUCUCACUCUUUUCCAGCGGAAUUCACCGAAAUUGCACCACAAUGGGUCGGUUUCUGUCGAUUUGGGAUGCUGGUUUUGCUAAUUUUUUCCUCGCCGGAGUUCCAGCGGGUUUAGACAGCAUCGGAAAUGGAGAAUGGCCCUAAAUUCAGGGCGACAAUGAUGUUUUCGGUAAGUUUUCACUGGAACUGUUAACCCCCAAUCUGUGUGUGGAAAAAAAAUCCCCUUUUUACUCCCUCGAUCUACUGUUUUUCCAUGCCUCUCUUUCUCGAUCUCUCCUCUCUUUUAAUUCUCUCUUCAAUGCUCGAUUCUCCCUUAAUUUUUCUUUUUCAUGGUGUGGGUAUGUUUAGUCAUGAGGUGUGUGUUGGUGUGUGUGAUUUUCUGUGGUGUAUGAUGUGUGCACCUCACAAUUUCAGUGAACUGUGGUGUAUUCAAUAUGUGGUAUGGUAUAUGUGUGUGAGAUGGUGUUGAUGAUGAAGUGGGUGUGUGGUGUGAGUAUCGAAAAUGGAGUAGUAUUUUUUCCUCUUCUCCCUUUCCUGUAAGCAUCUUCCCUUUCUAGAAUGUGUAUAUUAGGAUGGGGUAGUGGGGUAGGUGUGCACGUGAGUAGGGGUGGGGUGGUGAGGUGUCCGCUUUUAUUGGAGAGAUUAUUAGGAUAGGAUUAAAAUAAGGUAAAAAUUGUUAAGGGUUGUUAUUUUUGUCAUUUUAUGGAGGGAUAAUUACAUGGUUGAGGGUACACGAUAGGAAAAGGUAAUAAUGUGAAAAAUAAUCUUUCGGAGGGACAAAAUUAGGUGUCUACAUUGAUAAUAUCUUAAAAAUUAAGGAUCUUGUCAACAGAAACUGGUGGCUUUUAAUGGGAAAAAACUGCGAACAGAUUGGUUUUUGGCCUCAGAGGAUUUUUACAGACUUGCGAAGUUUUGCUACAAAUAUAGAGUGGGGUGGCAUUGUAUAUAGUCCACCGAGUGUUGAUUUUAUGUUUCAAUAAAUUUUGAAACAAAUACAUCGGUUAAAGAUUUUUAAGAGUUAUGUUUCAAUUAGUUUUGAAACAAAUGCAUCACUUAAAGUUUUGAGUUACAAAGGAAAUGAAUUUGAUAAAUUCAUUAUUCAUAAGUUUUGAGUUACAAAGGAAAUGUAUUUGACAAAUUCAUUAUUCAUUAAGUUUUACGUUAUAGGUUCUUGAAAGAAUGACAUUUUUUUGUUUUAAAACAUACAUGAACCUAUUAACUAUUACUUAAUUAAUAUACUUCUCAUGCAUGAAACUUUCAUCCUAUAAAUAUUGUUUUCUUUGGUUUGAAAAGACAAGCACUCAAAACUACUUUCCCUUUGAAAAUACUUGAGAGACAUUGAUCAAAUGGUGAAAUCACCAAUUCAAGAAUAGAAGAGCAACAUUCUUGAAUGCUACUUGUUUUGUGGCUUAGUUGAAUUCCGGAGAUAGAGUUGUCACUUGUUCUUCCGUUUGCUCGUGGGAGAGACUCCAACUAUCUUCAAGAAGCGUAUUAUCGUGCCUCUAAGCCAAGCAAGUUUUAUUUUGAAUUUCUUGUACAAUUAUCAUUAUUGUUCUAACAAUUUGAAGAUAGUUGUCUCUAUGGCUUCUACAUCAAUAUCAAAUAGUAAUCAUCUUUGCCUAAUCCUAAUUUUGAAAUAUAUGAUGGCAAAGACUUCCCUAGAUGGUGUGGAAAGAUGGAAUUCUUUUUAAAACGAUUAAAGUUGGCAUAUGUUCAUGAAGAUCCUUGUCCUAAUGCUCCUGGUUCUGAGGUAGCAUCUGACGAGGCUACUUUGAUUAAAGAACAAAUUGCCAAAUGGAAAUAUGAUGAUUAUUUGUGCAAGAAUUAUAUUCUGGGAGGAAUGUCUAACAAAUAUUAAGAUCAAUAUUAUGUUAAAUGCAAAUAUGCUAAAGAGAUAUGGGACACUCUUCAAGCUAUUUAUUUAGCCAAAGAGGCGAGUUCUAAGAAAUUUCUUGUUUCAAACUAUAUGGAGUUCAAAAUGAUUGAUGAUAAGUCAAUCACUGAACAAGUACAAGAAUUCCAACUUAUAGCUAAUAAAAUUGUUAUAUCUGGAAUUGCACUUGAUGAAAAAUUUCAUGUUGGUGCUAUUGUAUCAAAACUCCCUCCAUCUUGGAAAGAGUACUGAAGCAAACUCUUACACAAAAAGGAAGAUUUGAAUCUUGAACAAUUGUUGCAACUCUUGCAAAUUGAACAAGAGACACGAUGGCACGAUAAUACUAGUUUGAAGGAACCUGUCAUGAAAGCUCAUAUGGUUGAAGAAAAAUCAAACAAGAAGGAACCUAAAAAUAAGAAUUUUUCAAAGGCAAAGAAGACUACAAAUUUCAAGCGUAAUGGUGCCAAUUUUAAAUUUGGUGAAUGCUAUCAUUGUCACAAAGUUGGUCACUAUGCGCGUGAUUGUAGAAUUCUCAAAGCCGAAAAGAAGAAAAAAAAGUAAAUAAAAAUAAAAAAGAUGAUCUUGUGGCAAUGGUCACAGAAGCAUUUAUAGCGGAAGAUCAAGUGGAAUGGUGGAUAGAUACUGGCACAACUCGACACAUAUCAUGUAAUUAAAAUUCUUUCAAGACUUAUGAAUUAGUGAGGGACGGUAAAAUUGUAUAUAUGGGAAACUCCUCCUCUACUAAAGUUGUGGGAAAAGAAGCUGUUGAACUGAAGUUUACUUCCAGAAAGAUAGUUACAUUGAUGUACGUAUUGCAUGUUCCUGAUAUUCAAAAGAACUUGGUGUCAGGUACGCUUCUUGUGAAGCAUGGUUUUAAAAUGGUUUUUGAGGCAGAUAAUUUUAUUUUAUCUAAAAAUGACAUAUUUGUUGGAAAAGGUUAUGUUGCAAAUGGAAUAUUUAAACUCAAUAUUGAAAAUGAAAACAUUUCUGCUUAUCUUGUGAAGUCUCUGACUUAUGGCAUGAAUGUCUGGGACAUGUGAAUUUUAGAUCCAUUCAACUUAUGGUGAAUAAUGGAUUAAUCAAAGAUUGUGGAAAGAAUCAUGCUACUAAGUGUCUUACUUGUAGUAAAUGCAAGAUUACUAAGAAGCCCUUUAAGACAGUUGAAAGGACUUCCACACUUUUGCAAUUAAUCCACACUGAUAUUUGUGAGAUGGAUUAUUUGUCACGUCAUGGAAAAAGGUAUUUUAUCACUUUUAUUAAUGACUACUCAACAUAAACUUAUGUCUUUCCAUUGAAAAUAAAAGAUGAAAUAUUUGAGACUUUCAAAACAUAUAAAGCAAAAGUUGAAAACAAAUUAAGUGUGAAAAUUAAGUCAAUUAGGUCUGAUAGAGGUGGAGAGUACUUAAAGUCAGAUUUUAUUGAUUUUUGUGAGAGAGAAGGCAUUGAAAAAUAAUUGACCAUGUCCUAUACACCACAACAAAAUGGUGUAGAAGAAAAAAAAUAAGACUUUCAUAGAAAUGGUUAAUUCUAUGCUUUAUGGAUCUGGUAUAUCUGAAAAUUUGUGGACUGAAGCCUUGUUUUCAGCAUGUCAUAUUUUGAAUAGAAUUACUUUCAGGAAUCAUGAUGCAUCUCCAUAUGAACUUUGGAAUAAUUGAAAACCAAAUAUAAAUUAUUUUAAAGUAUGAGGUUGCUUGGCUCAUGUUCGAUUACCAAAUCAAUAUUUAACCAAGAUUGGCUAUAGAGGAGUAGAUUGUGUGUUUAUUAGUUAUUCACAAACCAGUAAGGCUUAUAGAUUUUUAAAUCUUGAGACCCCAAGUCCUCACACAAUUAUUGAAUCUUUACAUGCUAACUUUUUUUAGCAUAUAUAUCCCAAGAAAAAAGAUAUUUUUGAACAAGAUUCAAGUUUUUCUAUUUCUCCUCUUAAAAGGAAAAUAGUUGAGCCAUUGAAAGAAAGUCAACCAAGACGUAGUUCAAGAUCAUCCAAAUCAAAAGACUUUGGACCUGAUUUUCAAGCUUAUAUGGUUGAAAAAGAUCCUGAAAGUUAUGCUGAAGCUAUGUCUUCACAUGAUGCUCCAUUUUGUCGUGACGCCAUUGAUGAUGAAAUGCAUUCUAUAUUAUCUAAUAAUACACGGAUAUUGUCAGAUCUUCCUCCUGGAUGUAAACCAAUUAGUUGUCGAUUGAUUUUUAGGAAGAAAAUGAAAUCCGAUGGUACUUUAGAUAAGUACAAAGCCCGUUUGGUAGCUAAAGGCUUUACUCAAUUAAAAGAUAUUAAUUAUUUUGAUACUUUUGCACCUAUAGCUCGGAUGACCUCUAUUUAUCUCUUGAUUGCUAUAGCAACAAUUCAUAGUCUUGUGAUUCAUCAGAUGGAUGUGAAAACUACAUUUCUGAAUGGAGAUCUAGACGAAGAAGUCCACAUAAAACAACCAGAAGGAUUUGUCAAUCCUGGUCAAGAACGUAAAGUUUGUAAACUUCUUAAAUCUCUUUAUGGAUUAAAACAAGCUCCAAAAUAAUGGCACGAUAAAUUUAGAAAAAUUAUGAUUUUUAAUGGCUACUUAAUCAAUGGUGGAGAUAUCUGCAUAUUUAGUAAAUUUCAAGAAAAUUCUGGUGUUAUAAUUGUCUUUAUGUAGAUGACAUGUUGAUCUUUGGAACUGAUAUUGAAAGAGUCAAAGAAAUAAAAUAUUUUCUUGCUUCUAAGUUUGAAAUGAAAGAUCUUAGAGAAGAUGAUGUAAUUUUAGGCAUCAAAAUUGUAAGAUCGGCAAGUGGUUUGACUCUUACUCAAUCAAGUUAUAUUGAGAAAGUUCUAAAGAGGUUUGGUCAUUUUGACGACAAGACUACUCCUACACCAUUUGAUCCUAACAUCAAACUAGUGCGCUAGUGAUAUUCUUGAUCAAUUGACAUAUUCUCAGAUUGUUGGGAGUUGUAUGUAUGUCAUGCAUUGUACCAUGCUAGAUAUUGGUUAUGCAAUAGGAACUUUGAGCAAGUUUACUGGUAGCCCUGGAGUUGAGCAUUGGAAUACCUUAAUUCAUGUUUUAAGGUAUCUAAAGGCUACAAUUAAUAUUGGCCUGCAUUAUUCUACCUUUCCAACAGUUCUUGAAGGCUAUAGUGAUGCUACUUGGAAUUCUGAUCAGAAUGACUCUAAAUCUAUUACUGCUUGGAUUUUCACUUUGGCAGGAGCAGCAAUAUCUUGGAGAUCAAAGAAGAAUACAUGUAUUACUCACUCAACCAUAGAGUCAGAAUUUAUCGCGUAUGUCUUUUGCUGGAGAAGAGGUUGAUUGGCUGCGGAGUAUGCUGAUAGAUAUUCCAUUAUAGGGUAAGCCAAUACCACCUUUGACUAUAUAUUGUGAUAAUAAAGCUGCAAUAUUUCGGGCUUCAAGUGAUUGUUACAAUGGCAAGUCAAGACAAGUUCGUCUUAAACACAAUCAUAUGAGAAUAUUAUUGGAGGAUGACAUAAUAUCGCUUCAAUAUGUGAAGUCCAAACUCAAUUUAGCAGAUCCUUUGUCUAAAGGGUUAGGCAAGGAAUUGGUGAUACAAACUUGUAAUGGGAUGGGAAUAAAGCCUGUUGUAGAUUGAUUGUACUUUAUGGUAACCCUACCUAAUGAUGUAAUCUUAGGUUCAAAGGGAAAAACAAGUAAAGUUACAAUUGUGAAGCACAUCAAUAAAAUUUUCUUUUUCCCUAGAGAGUGAGUAAAUGUGCACAAGUUGAGAUUUAUUCUCUUGAUAAAUCUAUAAUACCGAUAUCGGUUGGAGUAAAUAAUAACAUUCUUGAUAGAUUUGACAGUAUUCCUACAAAAGAAAAGAAUGAGAUUAUAUUCUCUUAUUAAAUCUAUACACCGAUUUCGGUUGGAGUGUGUAGGAACACUCUAGAUAGAUUUACUGAUACUUUGUUGUAAAGGAGGAUGAGAUUAAUUUCUCUUAAAGAAAUUCAUAGCCUACUUAGUCGGAGCAUGCAAAGUUACUCUUGAUGAAUUCACCGCACAAAGUGCGAAGUGGAGGCCGCUUCAAUAAGAUUUUUACAGGAAAAUCUUAAAGCACUUAGCUAAAAGGAUUCGGGACACAUGGUUGUAAGGUGUCAAAGGAUUUUGAUUUUCACCGGAACAUAGCAACAUGCGUGGAGUAUUUUUCUACUUCAUUCAAUGAACUACAAAGUUCAAGAUUUGUUCACUAAGUAGUCAAUGAUUUAGAAAGUCUUCACUAGCUAAUGGUUCAAGUCCAAAAGACAUCAUUAUUGAUGCAUGUUGCUAGAUUGAUGUCUCAAAUAAAUUUUGUUUUUUUUUAAAGAUAAAAUUUCUUGAAACAAGUGGGGGAUUGUUGAUUUUAUGUUUCAAUAAAUUUUGAAACAAAUACAUCGGUUAAAGAUUUUUAAGAGUUAUGUUUCAAUUAGUUUUGAAACAAAUGCAUCACUUAAAGUUUUGAGUUACAAAGGAAAUGAAUUUGAUAAAUUCAUUAUUCAUAAGUUUUGAGUUACAAAGGAAAUGUAUUUGACAAAUUCAUUAUUCAUUAAGUUUUACGUUAUAGGUUCUUGAAAGAAUGACAUUUUUUGUUUUAAAACAUACAUGAACCUAUUAACUAUUACUUAAUUAAUAUACUUCUCAUGCACGAAACUUUCAUCCUAUAAAUAUUGUUUUCUUUGGUUUGAAAAGACAAGCACUCAAAACUGCUUUCCCUUUGAAAACACUUGAGAGACAUUGAUCAAAUGGUGAAAUCACCAAUUUAAAAAUAGAAGAGCAACAUUCUUGAAUUCUACUUGUUUUGUGGCUUAGUUGAAUCCCGAAGAUAGAGUUGUCACUUGUUGUUCCGUUUGCUCUUGGGAGAGACUUCAACUAUCUUCAAGAAGCGUAUUAUCGUGCCUCUAAGCCAAGAAAGUUUUAUUUUGAAUUUCUUGUGCAAUUAUCAUUAUUGUUCUAACACCGUGUGUACCUGAACCUCCCAUGGGCUCAAGCUAUUUUCCCGUUAUGAACUCUGGUUAUGAUGGUUAUUGCAGGAGCAUAACAAUUUUGAACGUAAAAGGAAACACGAUUGAAGUAGACAGAACAACUACACAUACAGAUAAUCCUAAUAUGUACCGAGUUUCGCUUGUACAAUUUCGGUCUGGUUCAGAGUCAACCCGUUUUGUUUUAUAUGGUGGACCUGGUGAGAGUACACCAAUUUAAGUAUUGUUAAUUGCUACUAUAUUGACAGUUAUGUUUAAUGUCUAAUGAAAUAUUGAGCAACUCUUGUUGAAUUUGAAUUGGAUAACUCUUUUAUUUUUUUGUUUUUCACUCGAUGUCUGGUAUCCACAUUGAAACCCGAUUAAUUUAGAUACGCGCCGCGUAAGAAUUGGAUAACUCUUUUAGUGAACGUAUCUAUCAAUUUAUUUCUUGGAGUCUAUAAAUUGUCCAUAAACAACAAGAGUUUAGAGCCUAUUUACUAUACAUAGCUAUACUUUUUAUAAUAACAAACUUCGACUUUUUAUGUUUUUCUUACUUUCUUUCUUUCUUCUUGCCUUUUUUUUCGAAUUUAAAAUUUAAAGUUUGUGGGUUCUCCACAUUAGACAAAAAUAAAAUGAAAUAAUAACUUACAGGAUUUGUGCCCACAAUUGAGAGAUCAACAAAAAUUUUGCAAGUGAUACAAGAAAAUCAAGGAACACACGGAAUUGGCUUAAAACAGUCCAAACACACUCCAAAAACAGUCCACUAAUUCAAAGAAUCGAGGACCCUUUUGAAGACCACUCUCGGAUUCAACAAUGAAAUACAAAAAGGACAAUAUAACUAGGUGUUUGACACCCUUUGCAGCCAAUAACAAACUAAGUUAACAACACAAGAUGAAACAACAAUGAGAAGAAGAAGAACAACAACAACAACAACAAAAACGGCUUCACAAUACAAGAUACAAAACGGAUACAAGAUUACAAAAGAAAAAAGAUAGAUAGAAAGACCACAUGAAGGUAUAAUAUUAAGAACCCAAUAAUGGUAACUCUUGGACCCUUAACACUACACACAACAAUAAACCUAUCUCUUAUAAAGACACAAGAUCGGAAUCCACCUCCCAAGCAUCAAUGUUUCCAAGUAAAUGCAAACACAAGUGAUUCUACACUUGUCUAAGUCCUAAUUUCGGUUUUGGGUGCCUCAAGGAAAGAGGACUUGUGUUUCUUUGUAUUGUAAGACUUACAAUUUCAUUCAUAAACUAAGUCUAAAACCCUACAAUGUUCCUUUUAUAGUUAUUACAAAAUAUAAGUUAAAAUGACCAAAAGGCCCUUCAAAGAGUGGGCACCCGUCUAGUGUAAUUUAUGGGCUAAUUUGGGUGCAUUUUGGGCCUCUUUUACACUUCAAUUGCACAUGUCAAGGCUCGAGUCCAACACGCACUCUCCUAAGUCAAUAGCCGUGAUUAUUCCCGUAUCAACAAGUCUCUCUGCUCUGUUAGACCAACAUCAAACUUUAUUUAUAGAUUUCCAAACUAUAAUUUUUAUAUAUUUAUUAGAUUAAUCAAUAUAAAUAUAAAAUUCACAUGAAAGUUACUGAAUUAUCAGUAAUUGGUCCAUCUUUUUCUUAGAGGAGAUAAUGGAGUAAGUUAGAAAAAUAUGAUUGAGAGAGCUGUUAUUACUUUCCUCGUUACGGUAAUCAUUGCCAAAUCAUAGCCAGACUAUUAUCAAAUUAAAAUUCGAAUCAAAAUCACUAUAAUUGAAUAGUUCGGAAUUUGGAAAAACAUCAUAAAUAAUUCCUUAACUAUAAGAGUUGGUCAAAAUAGUCUUUUAACUAUACACUUAUUAGUUUUGAUUCUUUAACUAUUUAAAAACUUAUCAAGUUUGAUCUUUGACUAUUUUUUAUUUUUAUAAAAAUAACGUAGGAUUUAUAUUAAUGAAAUUCCUACUUUCAUGAAAUUAAAUAGUAAUUGUAGACACCUAAUUUCGUCCCUCCCCGAUAUCAUUUUUACCCAUUUUUAUCUUAUGCUACCAUGUACCUUCAUCCGUGUGAUAAUCCCUCCACAAAAUGACAAAAAUAAAAAUCCCCUAACCAAUUUUAUCUUAUCCUAACAACCUGCCCAAUCAAAAUAAAUCACAUCACACCCUACACCUGCCCCUACCCCUACCUCACUACCCCACCGACCCUACCCCACAACCACACAAUUCCAUAGGCAUAUAUACAACAAAAGGGAAAUCAUUAGGGGAUCCAUUUUUUUUAUUUUUUUUCAUUCCACAGAAUUCCAUCUUUGUUUUCCUUUUCUUCUACACAUACACACAGAAAACACACGAGCACUCAUCUUCAACAAUAAUCCCCUCACCAUCACACACUCUCCACACGCACCUCUCUCAGAUCCCAAAUCACACACACAUACAUAGAGGUCGAGAAGGAAAUCAUGAGGAAGAGGAGGAAUUAAGGGAGUAGCGAAGAGUGAGAGAGAGUAACAAAGAGAGAGAUAUAGUUAUUUUGAUUUCGGGUUACUGUUCCGGCAACCCAGUCACUGAAUUUUGACAUUUUUUGUUAGCUUACUCCCUUCAUAACUCACCGAAAAAAAGAUGACACACACAGAGUAAAGGGAGACAGAGAAGAGAGGAACAGAGCGAGAGAGAGAGCUAGAUGAAGUGAAAGAGAGAACUGGUCGGAGUGAUAGAUCAGGAGAGAGAGAAAGAAAAUAGAUAAGGGAACUAGCUCGAAUUUCGGUGAAGCCUCACCGGAAUACAUCAUCCCGCACUGCCGAACUACCAAAACUCCGAAACCAGCAAAAACACCCAAAAAAAUUCAAUCAAAACCAGACCAAUCCCACGUUCUUCAUACUGUUUGGGUCGACGGAGCUCUUACAAAGCCGUGAAUGAUAACCUACUCCGAUUCCGAUGGGAUUCUCCAAUAGUUAAUUUGAAAUUUGUGAUUUGAUGUUCGUAUUAAGGUUUUGACACUGGAUUUUGAAUCUGUACGGUUGCUAUUCGUUGAUAUCGAGUUAUUUUUUCCAUCAUUGAAGUUGAUUUGAGGUUCUCGGGAUGACUCUUUAUUUCUAUCAUAAAUCGAUCGAAAAUAUUCAGAAGUUGCGAGGUCGACGUUGAGGUUACAGUUGGGUCGAGGUUUCGUUGCCCGUGAAUUCCAAUCCAUCACUGAUUUUGGAAUAAAGUGAACGAUUGAGGUCCAAUUCUACAUCUCUUAUCUCUCUUUUCGUGAAUAUUUUUGAAUGGUGUGAUUUUUGGUUGAAUUUGGUUGAGGUGAUUUUAUUCAUCGUUAUCUGAUUGUUAAUCCUGGUGUGAAGUAUGUUAAUCACGUAGUUGAUUUGGGGUUAAGUUGGAUUUUGAAAAAAAAAAGAAAAAAAAAGAUCGAAAAUUGUAAAAAGUGAAUAUUGAUUUGUGUUGGUUUAGUGACGAUUGCUUGAUUUGGGAUAAACGUCGACUUUGUUAAGUUCGAUAGUAUCAUGUUUUAGGUCGUGAAUCAUUAGGCAAACUUAGGGAUUGUGAAAUUGGUGAAAUGUCUGAAAUAUGUGUUGAAUGGAUUUGUUUUCUCGCAUUAAAAAUUGUUCUCAUUUGGUCGGGGAAUGCCCUGAAGGAAUUGUAUUUAAUCACCAAGGAAUGCCCUGAAGUAUCAUGUACAUGAAGAUGGCGCACGAUCAAGGCCCGGAGCAUCGGGUGGAGAAAUAAAUGGAGCGUAGUUUAGGAUUAGUGUAGUUUAGUAUAGCUUUAGUUCAGUAUUUUCUAUUUUGGGAUUGUAUAAUUGGACUGAAUACUAAAUCUUGAUUUGUUUUGUUUGUUUGUUUUGAUUGAUUGUUUUAUGUGUUUUGUCUGGUUUAUACAUUCGUAAUGCCAAAAUAGCCGAUACACUCCACCAAGCGACCGUGGUCAAACCACGGGAUCGAGGGGUGCCUAACACCUUUCCCUUGGUCAAAAGAAUUCCUUAGCCGGAAUCUCUGUUCGCGGAUCAGUUUGAGAGUCAAAAAUCAUUUUGAAGAGGAUUUUCCGAUGGUGACUUGGUACACCAGAUUAUGCCAAGUGGCGACUCUGAGUUUUUUUUUUUAAAUGUAAAAAUAAUCCUUUUUUAGAACAAAUCUUCAUUUUGUCACUUUAAUAAUGAAAACCCUUUCGACCCUUAAAAUCAAAUCUUUUUUUGGGGUUAGUAAAAUGGGGUGUGACAGCUUUAGCGACUCUGUUGGGGAUUCUUUUCAGAAUUCGAGCUUAUUUUGGAGUCGUAUCGGCUUUGUUUGGCAUUACGAGUGUAUAAGCAUUAUUUGUGAUUUUUGUUUGUGUUAUUUUUAUCACUUUUGUGCGAUUUCGUGCUCUUUGUUUACAAUAUUUAUCUUAUGUGUUACCGCUUUAUAUCUGGCAUCAUGUGUCUACCCCCAGUCCUUCUUUCGGCAACAAGUCCGUAGUACACGUGUUGUACACGACCUCUAGUUGAGUCACCCUUAUUUUAGGGGGGGAGCCGUCGGUGUUAUGGAGUAGGUGAAAAGCAAAGCAGCCACUAUCGACCAUACGCUCCCCCGAACAGCCUUGUUAGUGAACCACAACGUAGGUCAGCCUAUAGGUCAUGCUUAUGUGCAUCAUACUGAAACCUAGCGGGACCCAUAUGGCCCUUUGUAGGAGACUCACCUCUAACGCAUCCCUACAUGCUAAAUGUUGCAUCUUUAAGGGUAAUGGGGUCAUUUGACGAACUGAUUUGGUGAAAAUAUGUGUUAGAAGUAAGGUGCGUAGGCAAGAACUGUUAAAAAAAGUUAUAGAGAAAAAAGUGAAGUGAGUUGAAAAGAAGAAGAAAAAAAGAGUGCCGUAGCUUUUAGUGUUCUUUACGGCUUUUGUUCUUCACAAUCCAAAAAAAAAAAGAUUUUUACCUUUUGCACUCGUUUCUCAAAAACAAAAAUAUCAAAAACAUUUUUCCUUUGUCUCGUUUAGCAUGCAUUCACAAUUCAAAAACUUCAAAAGAUUUUUUAUUCAUAGGAGUUUUUAUAAAACAAAAAUGCAAAAAUUGUAGGAGUUUUGUACAUUUCACGAAAAUACCAAAAGAUUUUUUUUCUUCGUAGUUGUUGGUGUCAUUUUUAGCUGAAGUGUCUAAUUAAAAAUCCAAAAGAAAAAAAAAUAUUUAUUUAUCUUUGGCUGUGUCUCUUAAGUUAGGGUGCAAUCCGUUAUUUAAUCAUUAAUUGUCCAAUCUGGACGAACUACGCACCCCUGAUUCUCUUCUUUCGGGAUGUGAGAUACGUAGGCAGCCAAUUAUUAGUUCGGGGAUCUAAUUUAAAAAAUUCAAAAAAAGAUUUUCUUCACUCUUUAUUUAGAGUAGGUGUUUCAUACAUAUCUUGGAAAGAAAAAAAGAGUAAAAAAAAAAAAUUUUCCUCAAUAGUCGUAGGUUUCAUUUUUGGUUGAUCUUAUUUCAACAAUCCAAAAAGAGUUUCUUCACUCUUUAUUAGAGUAGGUGUUUCAUAUACAUCCUUAAAAGAAAACUACAAAAAGAUUUUUCUUUAAUAGGUUCAAGUUUCAUUUUCAUAUGAAAUUCCAAAUUGAAAAUCCAAAAAGAUUUUUUCUUUGGUAAUCAUAGGUUUCAUUUUGUAUAGGAAUUUUAAACGUGAAAAUGCAAAAAAGAGUCUAUUCUUUUGACAAUUUGUUAUUUUCUUCUCUUUGUAAAGUUUCAAGAAAAGAAAAAAGAAAGGAAAAAUUUUAAUUGGCCAUUUUGGCAAAACUUCACGAACUACGAACACCUGAUUCUCCCCUUUUGGGGGUGAGAUACGUAGUCUCCCUUCUUGGGUUUGGUGAUCUUUUCAAGAAAAAAAAUAAGAGGUUUUGAAAAAAUGUUGAACUCUAACCAUUUUUUAUCUCUUGUCCAGUUAGUUUAAGGUGGUUGGUUUGUGGCAUUUUGGCUGGUCCUCCAUAUUGCUCCAAGUCACAGAGAAAGUUAUGGCCAACAAGGAUACCGAGUUAGUUGUCACUAAUCAGAUAGGGAGUUCGGGGAAUGAGAAUGUAGGAGAUAAUGAAGAUGUUCGGAAAUUAAGGCGGCAAAUAAUAGAAAUGCAUCGAGCUUGAGCUAAUGGGUUGCCGCCUCCUCCAAUUCCCACUGAUAAUCUGAAAUAUCUUUCUAGCUUGCCUCCCGUAUCACAUGCACAAUUUCUCAUUUUUGUUGAUAUGCCACAACAUGGAUCAGGAUCGACUCCGGGGCAACAAUAUCCGACCACUUCCAUUGUUAAUUUCCUCACUCCUCAAUCCAAGACUACCACAUACUCGACUCCAGCUAUUGUUCAUGGUUUUGCGGCGCCACCCCCACCUGAAGCUCCUACUUUUGAUGUUCAUCCAUAAGUUGUGCCUCCCUAUUCUAUAAGAGAGCCUGCAUUGAAUAUUUUUAGUGAUCAGCAUUAUGCUCUCGAGCCUACAUUUAAGUCGACUGGUCCUUACGAUUGCCCUCAACUGCCUGAAUUUCCUCCUAACACUCAGAAGCCUGUUAUGACAUAAGAACAAGAGGAAAUAUCCAGAAAAUUGAGAAGUUUGGAACUGACUAUGAAAAACUUGCAAGGACUUGGGGGGUACAAAAGUGUCCCAUAUAAAGAUUUGUGCAUGUUUCCUGGUGUACAUCUUCCUCUUGGUUUUAAAACGCCGAAGUUUGAGAAGAAUGAUGGGCAUGGCGAUCCUGUAGCACAUUUAAGAUGCUAUUACAACCAGCUAAGGGGCGCUGGAGGGAAGGAAGAAUUACUCAUGGUAUAUUUCGGUGAGAGUCUUUCAGGUCUAGCUUCAGAAUGGUUUGUUGACCAAGACUUUGACAAAUGGAUUAGUUGGGAUGACCUAGCUAAUGAAUUUGUGCAACAAUUUCAAUACAAUGUGGAGUUGAUCCCUAACAAAAAAUCCCUAACUAGUAUAACAAAGAAGAAUACUGAGAGUUUCAGGGAGUAUGCGAUCAGAUGGCGCGAACAAGCUGGUAGAGUAAAACCGCCAAUGAAAGAAAGAAAAAUAGUGGAGGUGUUUAUUCAAGCACAGGAUGAAACAUAUUAUCAACACUUGUUACCAGCAUUAGGCAAGUCGUUCAUUGAGGUCCUUAAAAUGAGGGAGAUGAUAAAAGAGGGAAUUAAGACUGGUCGCAUUGUGAGUUUUGAAACAUUGAAAGCGACUACUCAAGUAAUUCAAAAGGGUUCAGAAAGUGUUGGGGAGAAAAAGAAUGAGGAAGGUGCAUCUGCAAUUAUAGUUGGACAACAAGAAAGGUCAAGAAGACCACGUCGUCAUCGAUCUCAGGCUCAAGCUCAAGUUUAUGCCCAAGCUCUACAUAAUCACUCCCAAAAUCCAUUGUACUCUGUUCCUCCACAUCCAUAUCCAGUGUAUAAUGCACAACCACAUGUCCAACCCUCAUCUUACCCACAAUGGCAUACCCCAACACCCCAAAUUCAUCCUCUAACUAAAUAAACAUACCCAAACCCUUCUAAGCUAGAUUUUCUAUCCAAGCCAAACAAUGAAAUGAGGCAGAAGUCGAGAGAUAGUUUCACACCAAUUGGAGAGUCAUAUGCCAGUUUAUUUCAAAGAUUGGUACAGGAAGGAAUGAUCACUCCUCUCCUUGGGCACACCCUUAAUCGGUGUUCAAGAAAUAUUAAUCCUAACGCACAAUGUGCGUAUCACUUUGAGGCUCAGGUUCAUAGUAUUGAAGAUUGUCGAGAUUUGAAAAGAGAAAUUGAAAAGAUGAUUCAUAAUGGAUCAAUUAUGGUGCAGAACAUUGACAGUAGUGGAAGCUUUAGUCAUGUUGAUAUGCAAACUAGUGGCUAAGUUGUCAGGCUGAGCAAUUGAGAAUUUACCCAUCUCCCUACUAGAAAGAGGUCUGGUAGUUUAUUUUGUCUUCUUUUUUGUUUUCUGAAUUAUUUCAGGGUUGUAGUUCGGGAUCUAUCUUGUUUUGUCCCUUUGUCGUUUAUGUUCAAACCCUUCUAUCUUUCAUUUUUAUUAAAUGGAGUGUCCCCUUUUCCUUUAAGUUUUAAAUUUGUGUUGUUUGUUUGUUUUCUUUACAUAGUACAUUUUAGGUUGAUUCUUCGUGAUAUGACAUGCUAGUGAAAUUUUCAGCCAGAUCUUAAAAUCCACUUGAUCAGGAAGCAUUGGAUCAAAGAGUUAAAAUUAGGAAAAUAAAGUAUCUGAGAAAAUAGAUAGAGUGUCGGGGCAUCUGGUGACAAGUUGAAGCCUUUUCUGAAAAUUAAGGCACUUAUUUUGAGAAUCACAAGAAUAACUUGGUCAUCAAUUGAAAGACAUGUCUCAAUUAGAUCAAAUAGUGGCCGCGUGAACAAAAAGAAAAUUAGCUCCACAAAAUCAUGAGUCAUUCAAUGUGAGGAAUAUGCAACAAAAGUGGAGUUGUAUGCCAUAUAAACGCAGAAUAAAUAGUGAUGCACAGACUCAGUCAAAGUUAAUGCUGUAAAAGAUGUCAAAAGAUCUUCAUCUUUCACUUUCAUAUUGCAUGAUAUGUACUUGCAUUUUCAAAGAUUGAUAUGACGAAGGCAUUUCAUUCUGCUAGCCAAACAUCGUGUCAUCCUUUGUUUACCCCAUUUAAGGUUUAGUCUUAUUUUCUUUCAUACACCUCUUUUGGAAUCAAUAUAGUCAGCAAAGCUCGAAAGAAAAGUGUCGAGCAAAACAAUAGUCAGAAAAGUUCAAAAAAAAAAAGAAAAAAAAAUGUGUCAAAAAAAGAGUGUCAAGAAAAUAGAGUCGAAAAAAUCCCCAAAAGAAAAGAAUCAAUAAAAGAAAAGAAAAAAAAUCAGAAUCAAGCAAAAGAACAAGAUGCCAGAACUACACAUGACCUGAUUCUCCUCUCUCGGGGGUGAGAUACGUAGGCUGCCCUACUAAGGGCUCGGUCCAACCAAAUAAACAAUUUAGAGUCACCCAUUCAAAAGAAACUGGGGCAUGAGUUAAUCCUCAUUGUUUGAGUCGAUUCCAAAAGUUGUAAGUCCUACCCACUUCAAGUGUCAUUUGGGCCCCAUGCCAUCCUUUCUUUCUAACCUUAUCCAAAAACCAAGUUACAACCAAAGAAAGACCUUCAGAUCAAUCUUUGAGAAUGUUAAGGCUAAGCAGGCAAUGCAUAUGAUGACGCAUUUUGGGAACUGCUCUUCUUUCUCAGCAUAGUGAAUUAAGUGAGAAACAAAAAUGAGAAAUUCUUAUUGGUGAAAACCCUUACGGGCACCAUAAGGCGAUGGCAAGUUGAGAAAAAUAAAAAUGAGAGAGUCUUAUUGGUGAAAACCCUCACGGGCACCAUAAGGCGAUAAUGAGCCGAGGGAAAAUGAAAGAAGCUUAUUGGCGAAAAUCCUUCAAGGCGCCACUAGCCGAAUGGGGUCUUAAAUGCAAUUGACCUAAGAAAGCAACUCAGUUUCAAGGACAUUAAAUCAACAACAAUGGGUACAAAGUUUGGAUGAAAAGAUCAAGCUGCUUAAUCCAAAAUGCAUGGCAUAAUCAUUAGUGUUGACUAUCAUUUUUAGAUGAAUUUUUUGUUUCUUUGUUUUAAAAGGGGACAUUCAUUGUCUUUUCUUUCUUCUCUUUAUUUUAAUUUUAUCUUUCUUGAGUCAGUUUUAAAAACAAAAAUUGUCAUUUUUUUUUUCGUUUUGUCUUUGAGUCAAAUCCGUGUCAAAACAAGUGAGAAAAGAUUUCAAAACUGGCUACCAGCUUCUUUAAUUACACAAAGCAAGACAAAAGCUAGCACAUGAAAGAGACAUAAUUGUGAGCCCAAAAAGGGCAUGCAGAAAGUUUUGUCAACAGAGAAGUCGGAAAACUCAUAGAAAUACCAAGGUUCAAAGGGUUUAUUUGAGAAACACGACAAAGCAGAAAUACUGUGUUUGUUUCAGAGUCACUCUUAAUAAGCUGAGUUUGAGUCAAUGAUACAGCAAGUCAAUGACAUAUGCUAAUGGUUGGAAGCAAACCUAAAUGUGACUGGGGCAGGAGCAAUUGCCUCAAAAGCCAAAGCCACAAACUAGCCACCAUGUUUUUAAACUCACAAGUUUUCUUUGUAUGUAAUAGGAAUACAUGUUGCAUUCAGAUAAAGGAUUUCAGGGCCUAAACAUCAAAGGCCGUAAUUGCUCACCUCAACAAAUGUAAGAGGCAAGGUUGCUGCAUAGGUUUGGUAAUCAAAACCAUGGUAAAACUCAUAAUUCAAGAUCUCUAGGAGACGUACUUCCUUGUUUUGGUAAGUCAAGCAGCUUUGGUAAGGAGACGCACUUCAUUAUUUUGAUAAUUNNNNNNNNNNNNNNNNNNNNNNNNNNNNNNNNNNNNNNNNNNNNNNNNNNNNNNNNNNNNNNNNNNNNNNNNNNNNNNNNNNNNNNNNNNNNNNNNNNNNNNNNNNNNNNNNNNNNNNNNNNNNNNNNNNNNNNNNNNNNNNNNNNNNNNNNNNNNNNNNNNNNNNNNNNNNNNNNNNNNNNNNNNNNNNNNNNNNNNNNNNNNNNNNNNNNNNNNNNNNNCUUUUAGUCGAUUCAUCCCCUUUGAUUCCUCUAAGACGUACCUUUUAGUCGAGUCAUUCCCUUUGAUUCCUAUAAGACGUACCUUUUAGUCGAGUCAUUCCAUUUGAUUCCUAUAAGACAUACCUUUUAGUCGAGUCAUCCCCUUUGAUUCCUAUAAGACAUACCUUUUAGUUGAGUCAUUCCUUGAUUCCUAGAAGACGUACCUUUUAGUCGAGUCAUUUCCUUUGAUUCCUAUAAGACGUACCUUUUAGUCGAGUCAUUCCAAUUAACUCAUAGAAAAUGCAUUUCUUUACUUGAGAUAAUUUUCUUUUCAGUUUUGAUGUGAUUUCGGGAGCAUGCCCGAAGCACAGGGCGAAUAAAUGGAAAACCAAGCAACAAGGUGAAUAAAUUGAAAGCAUAGCAACAAGUUGAUGAAAUAGCAAGUCAGGAACUCGCCUGGAGAACAGGGUGUAGAACUUGAAAAGCAUAGAAACAAGUUGAUGAAAUAGCAAUUCAGGAACCCGCCUGCAGAACAAGGUGAAGAAGUUGAAAGCAAGGCAACAAGUUGAUGAAAUAGCAAGUCAGGAAACCGCCUGGAAAACAGGGUGAAGAAAUUGAAAGGCAAGAAACAAGUUAAAGAAAUUGCAAGUCAGGAGCCCGCCUGAAGAAUAGGGUGAUGAAACUCAAGUCAAGAGUCCAAAAAAAACCUGUAUAGAUAGGAUUUUUGUAAUUUUAUUUAUGCUUUAACUUGUAAUUUUUAUUUUAAUGUAAUGACAAAGCCGUGGACCGGAACCUCGAUGGAACCUCACUCGACUCUCCAACCCAAUAUAGUCCUUCUCUUUACAAUCCUUUGAAAUACCCGUGACUUGAUUAUCUUAAAACUUGGGUAGGUAGGAUGUUUUAAGUCAAAACUCAGUUGUCCUUCUUCCUCCUAUUUCUUUCUUUGAAUAAUGGUCGGGUCAAAAUUUGGUCUCGCUGUCUACUUCUUUGUCUGAAAAUACUUCGUGUUUACAUUCAAAGAGGGCAUGAUGUAGACACCUAAUUUCGUCCCUCCCCGAUAUCGUUUUUACCUAUUUUUACCUUAUCCUACCGUGUACCCUCUCCCGUGUGAUAAUCCCUCCAUAAAAUGACAAAAAUAACAAUCCCCUAACCAAUUUUAUCUUAUCCUAACAACCUACCCAAUCAAAAUAAACCACAUCACACCCUACACCUACCCCUACCCCUACCCCUACCCCUACCCCUACCUCACUAUCCCACCUACCGUACCCCACAACCACACAAUUCCAUAGGCAUAUAUACAACAAAAAAGGAAAUCAUUAGGGGAUCCAUUUUUUUUAUUUUUUUUUCAUUCCACAAAAUUCCAUCUUUUUUUCCUUUUCUUCUACACAUACACACAAAAAACACACGAGCACUCAUCUUCAACAAUAAUCCCCUCACCAUCACACACUCUCCAUGCGCACCUCUCUCAGAUCCUAAAUUACACACACAUACAUAGAGGUCGAGAAGGAAAUCAUGAGAGAGAGGAGGAAUAAAGGGAGUAGCGAAGAGUGAGGGAGAGCAACAAAGAGAGAGAUAUAGUUAUUUUGAUUUUGUGUUACUGUUCCGGCGACCCAGUCACCGAAUUUCGACAUUUUACGUUAGCUUACUCCCUUUACAGCCCACCGAAAAAUAGAUGACACACACAGAGUAAAGGGAGACAGAGAAGAGAGGAACAAAGCGAGAGAGAGAGCUGGACGAAGUGAAAGAGAGAGCUGGUCGGAGUGAUAGAUCGGGAGAAAGAGAAAGAAAAUAGAGAAGGGAACUACCUCGAAUUCUGGCGAAGCCUCACCGAAAUACAUCGUCCCACAUUGUCGAACUACCAAAACUCCAAAACUAGUGAAAACACCUAAAAAAAAUUGAUCGAAACAAGACCAAUCCCAUGUUCUUCGUACUGUUUAGGUCGACGGAGCUUUGACAGAGCCGUGAACAAGUACCUACUCAGAUUCCAACGGGAUUCUCCAAUAGCUAAUUUGAAAUUUAUGAUUUGAUGUUCGUAUUAAGGUUUUGACACUGGAUUUUGAAUCUGUACGGUUGCUAUUCAUUGAUAUCGAGCUACUUUGUCCCUCAUUGAAGUUGAGUUGAGGUUCUCGGGACGGAUCUUUAUUUCUUUCAUAAAUCGAUCAAAAAUAUUCAGAAGUUGCAAGGUCGACGUUGAGGUUCCAGUUGGGUCAAGGUUUCGUUGUUCGUGAAUUCCAAUCCAUCACUGAUUUUGGAAUAAAGUGAACGAUUGAGGUCCAAUUCUACAUCUCUUAUCCCUCUUUUCGUGAAUAUUUUUGAAUGGUGUGAUUUUUGGUUGAAUUUGGUUGAGGUGAUUUUAUUCAUCGUUAUCUGAUUGUUAAUCCUGGUGUGAAGUAUGUUAAUCACGUAGUUGAUUUGGGGUUAAGUUGGAUUUUGAAAAAAAAAAGAAAAAAAAAAGAUCGAAAAUUGUUAAAAGUGAAUAUUGAUUUGUGUUGGUUUAGUGACGAUUGCUUGAUUUGGGAUAAACGUCGACUUUGUUAAGUUCAAUAGUAUCAUGUUUUAGGUCGUGAAUCGUUAGGCAAACAAUAGGGCAUGCAAACUUAGGGAUUGUGAAAUUGGUGAAAUGUCUGAAAUAUGUGUUGAAUGGAUUUGUUUUCUCGCAUUAAAAAUUGUUCUCAUUUGGUCGGGGAAUGCCCUGAAGGAAUUGUAUUUAAUCAUCGGGGAAUGCCCCGAAGUAUCAUGUACUUGAAGAUGGCGCACGAUCAAGGCUCGGAGCAUCGGGUGGAGAAAGAAAUGGAGCGUAGUUUAGGAUUAGUGUAGUUUAGUAUAGCUUUAGUUCAGUAUUUUCUAUUUUGGGAUUGUAUAAUUGGACUGAAUACUAAAUCUUGAUUUCUUUUGUUUGUUUGUUUUGAUUGAUUGUUUUAUGUGUUUUGUGUGGUUUAUACAUUCGUAAUGCCAAAAUUGCCGAUACACUCCACCAAGUGACCGUGGUCAAACCACGGGAUCGAGGGGUGCCUAACACCUUCCCCUUGGUCAACAGAAUUCCUUAGCCGGAAUCUCUAUUUGCGGAUCAGUUUGAGAGUCAAAAAUCAUUUUGAAGAGGAUUUUCCAAUCGUGACUUGGCACACCAGAUUAUGCCAAGUGGCGACUCUAAGUUUUUUUUCUUAAAUAUAAAAAUAAUCCUUUUUCAGAACAAAUCUUCAUGUUGUCACUUUAAUAAUGAAAACUCUUUCGACCCUUAAAAUCGAAUCUUUUUUUGGGGUUAGUAAAAUGGGGUGUGACAGUAAUCCAUUCCUCAAUUAUUUCUCUCUCCUUAAUACAUUUUCUUAACAAUUAAAUAUAAAAUUUCUUAGGGAAGAAGACAUAAAUUCUAAUAAAAAGAAGUAUAUUGUUGUUGCUAAUGGCAUGAAUAUGCUAUAUUUCAAAGAAGAUGACAAUAACGAUAAAGUUCGAUGUAAGAACAAACUUUUAUUACCAUUCAAGACAACUUGAACAAAGCAAAAUUCAAGAUGAAUUUUCUUAGAAAUUUUAACGACAAAAUCUCCAUCUUUAUUUUUUAUCAAGUUUGAUAUUUGUCUAUUUUUAAUAUAAACAACGUAGGUUUAUAUUAACGGAACUUUGCCUCCGUAAAAUUCUCUAUUUCUGAUACCUUUUUCACCAUUUUGUCAUUUUUGCUAUUAAUUUUCUCUGGCCACCUAAUUUAAAUUACUCGGACCAUGUCCAAAAUUUUCAUCUUGAAUUUUGCUUUGUUCAAAUAAUUACCUUCAAUGGUAAUAAAAGUUUGUUCUUGCAUCAAACUUUGUCAUUAUUGUCAUCUUCUCCAGAAUAUAGCAUAUUCAAGCCAUUAGCAACAACAAUAUACUUUCGUUUAUUAGAAUUUGUAUCUUCUGGUCUGUGAAAUUUUAUUUUGAAUUAUUGAGGUUAGAAAAGGUGGCAAGGAGAGAGAAACAAUUGAGAAAAUGGGCUACGAUUUAAUUUCAUGAAAGCAAGAAUUUCAUUAUUAUAAAUCCUACGUUUCUUUUAUAAAAAAAAUAGUCAAAGACCAAACUUGAUAAGUUUUGAAAUAGUUAAAGGAUCAAAUUGAUAAAUGUAUAGUUAAAGGACUAUUUUAAACCUACUCUUAUAGUUAAGGGACUAUUUAUAACAUUUUCUCUUCGAAAUUCUAUUAAAAUUGAGUUAACCAAAAUAGGAUGGGUAAUAGCUUCAUCAUAAAAAUCUAACGAGGAAAAAGGUAAAUUACAUAAAUUUCAUAAGUUAAAGGAGCUAAUAAUAGUUUUUAUCACAUUUUUGUCCAAUUACAUAAAAAUCCAGAAAUAUCAUUUUGUGAUACAUAUUUUAAUUCUUGAUACAUAUCCUGUGUGAUACAUAUUAAACUAAUAAAUGUGUAGAUACAUAUCGUGUGAUACGCAUUAACCUAGUAAAGUGGAGAUAUAUAUUUCUGAUACAUUUAUUUAAGUUAUGUUUUAAAACAUAUUGAUGAUACAUUUAUUUCGAACAGUUGUGAUUGAGGAGAUCAGCCAUAUAUAUCAUGAGCAAAAUGGAAAAUGUGGAAUUUUAUGUAAUUAUUAUAAAGAUUUGAGAUUUUAUGUAAGAAUACCCCUCAAAUUUGAAGGUUUGUGUAAUUUACCUUCUUUUUUUUUUCUGGUUAAAGUAGUAGAUUUAUGUUAAUAACAAAUUAAAUAGCGUCAUUUAGAGAAAAUAAGUUGUUACAGCCAGCGAAAAUAUUACUAGUAGUAGUAGUUUUCCUAGCAAAACAAGGCAAAAUAAAGGAGGGGUAGGCGGAAAGGUAAGUUCUCAAAAACAUGCUCGAUCGCUUCAUUCCUUCCAUAUCCAAAUUGUCAGAAGCAAGAUUACUGGUGAUACCAAUUGGACAAUUUAAUCAUCUUUGACUUCACAUAACACCUCGCAUUGAAGUGGAUGCGUGAGAUACGGACCCGGGUUUAGAGGUUUGUUCUGGCAGGACAUUAAACUCGUCAUUCAAACCAAGCGUGCAUGUAGACACAAGAGAAUGGUGGUUCCUGGAAGAGUAGAGGAUAGCCACAAAGAACCUUCCCUUCUUUCCUAGAUAACGAAGAGUGUAAAGAGCACGUUUAUCGUUAAGAACAUCAUCUUGGUGAACAGUGCUUGUUACGUCAACCUCAGAUAUUAUUAUAUUGUUUCUUCAUCAACUUUCUUGUUGGGGACGGGGACGGGGACGGGGACGGGCUCCGGCUCCAAAUCACGAAUGAUUAGCAAAAAUUGUGACUUGUAAUUCCUUUGGAAUGAGUAGAGGUGAUUUUCUACGAUUACAAAAUAAUCCCACCAAGGUAAUAACAAAAUAUGACUCGGUGUCGAUGAUUUUUCAGUGGUAUAAUAGGUAUACCAAGUCUGAUCCUUGAAGCUGAAAGCAAGAAGAGUACAUAUAGGGUGGUGGUCUCGUUUGAACGAACACGCCCGUCAACAAUCAGAGUGGCAAAUUCAUAGGCAAUUGCAGGUUUCACAAAAAUAUUGGCCGGGUCGAGGUAGUGAAACCCAGAUGACUACUCAUAUUCAGCAUCUCAAAGUGUGGCUUUCCGCCAUGCCAUGGGGAUUAUCAAAAGAGAUCGAUCACAUAAAGCCAGUGAUCAAUGAAGAAGACGAGUGGGUAACACGCACAUGGGAGCUUUCAACUUUGGGAUCGCGUAGUCCAUCCAUUUCCUCUUGGGAAUAUCAUAAACUUUGAUUUCGAGAGGAUAAAAUAAACAACCAUCAUCAUCUAAUUCUUCGUAACCAACAAAGUGUUGGGUUCAAAAUCGAGAGGCGUCAUGCGGAAGCUUAACGUUUGCAAACAAUAGAGAUGAUAAAUUAGAUGACAAAAAACUAUAAUAAAAACAUACUAUUAAUAUGGUUUGGCCAAACGGCCUACAUAUAAAAAACUAAUAUUGAAAAAAAUAUAAAAACUAUUGGGAGAAAAUCUCCACCUAAACGAGACUCUGUAAAGACUACAUUGUGAAUGCUAUUGUGUUAUGAUAUGAGAAGAGGGACCUUAUAUUUAUAGAGUUCCAAAACCUUUCCUCCAAGAAAAAGGUUAGCCAAAUAUGAAAAGUUUUAUAUUUUCUUUUCAGAAAAAAGUAAAAGUAAAUAUAGUUACUUUUAUUUUCCUUCCAAAAAAAAUAAAACUUAAAUUUGGUAAGAAAAUCAGAGCAAAAACCCUAACACAAAGUACAAUUCACGACCACCAGCGGUAUGUCCCAAUUUCAUUUUAAUAAAUGACGCACGUUGCUAGGAUUCCGGUUAAGAAAUUAUCCGAGGGGAAGGUGUUAGGCACCCCUCAAUCCCGUGGUUCCACCACGGUCGCUUGGUGGAGCAUAUCGGCUAAUUUGACACUAUGAAUGUAUAAACCACACAAAACACUCAAUCAAACAAAGAAAACAAAACAAGUCCAAAAAUAUAGUGUCCAGUCUAAUUAUUACAGCCCGAAAUAAAAAAGAACUGAAAAGUAAACCUACACUACUCCUAAACUACGCUCCAAUGUUGUACCUAAUGUCUCGGGCCUUGAUCUCGAGCCUUCUUUGCGUACAUGAUACUUUGGGGCAUUCCCCGGUGAAUAAGUACAAUGUGACCUCGGAGCAUUCCCGACAAAUGAAUACAUUUGAUGAAAUGUAAUAAAAUAGGAGGAAUCAUUCAACAUAGACAUUCACACAUUCAAUGAUAUAGAAUCCUACGAGUUGCCUACCCCGAAACCUAAAAUUUGCCUAUCAAUUUCGGCCUAAAACAUGACACUAUUGGGUUCAACAACAUAAUCAGUGUUCAUUUCAAAAUCAACAAAUCAAUCAAUCUUGCAACAAUCCAAUAUUCAACUUUUAUCGACUUUCAAUUCUGCCCCCAAGUUCAUUUUUUAUCAAUCACACCAUCAAGAUUACUUAAAUUCAUUCAACAUUCCACUAAAAUCACAUCGUCAAGCACAUAAUCAUAACAUCAACAAAAUCAAACAAUCGUAAUCACCGAACACGUAAUUACAACAUCGAUAUACUAAAUUAAAGUAAAAUAAAGAGCAAGACUUGUAGAGAUGGACCUUCCGAUAUUCAGCACUUGAAUGAAAAAAAGAAUCUGCGAUGGCGAACCUCGAAUCGAGACUUCAAUAACGACUAACAACUCCAAUACCAAAUCCCUAGGGCCUACAUGAAGGCGGGACUGGGUACGUUUUUCGAUAGCUUUCCACUGAAACAGUGAUCGAAUGAUAAUUUCCACCAAAAAAGUGACUCAACAUAGUAAUUUUUGUCGGAGCAAUAACCCAAAUCUAAGAAUUCCACCGGAAUCUGGAAUGUGGAAUUAUUUUUUAGAGCUAUUUAGUGUUUUUCUGUGAUUGAUGGUUAGAGAGAAGAGAUUUUCUGUUGGAUUCAAUAUGGGACACCACCUUUGAGAAAAAAACAUGGUUUUGGAAAAGGAGUGACUAUUCAGAUAGUUGUGUCUGUUCAAAAAAGACACAAUAUUUUGAAUGAACAGAUAUGACUCUUUCAAAGGAUACACCUUUUCAUAUGAACCAUUGCCACCUUUGGGAAGGGGCACUUGAUGUCUAUAUAAACCUGCAUUUAUCCACAGGUUUAGGUAUGAAAAAUUUUCUGAAUAUACAAACUCUUCUUGUCUUCAAAACAUUCCGUGUGAUCAAUUAAAUCGUUGAGUGAGUUCGAAGAGAUUCCAAUUGUUUGAUGUACCACUACAGUUGGUUUGUUUGGCCAUUUUAUCCUGGCAGAAAAAUUCCACAACCUCAGGUACUUGAGGGAAAUUAUUUUCUUAAGGACACUCCGUGAAUUCAGAGGACUUGGCCAUUUCUGUUUCAUCUUAAUUUCUGAAAAAAUAAAACACACUUCUUUGAAAUAUUAUUUUGAUCUUGUGUUGAGGGUGUUGUUGUACUUCAUAGUGUUCUUGUUUUAAACUUGAACUAGUGUUNNNNNNNNNNNNNNNNNNNNNNNNNNNNNNNNNNNNNNNNNNNNNNNNNNNNNNNNNNNNNNNNNNNNNNNNNNNNNNNNNNNNNNNNNNNNNNNNNNNNNNNNNNNNNNNNNNNNNNNNNNNNNNNNNNNNNNNNNNNNNNNNNNNNNNNNNNNNNNNNNNNNNNNNNNNNNNNNNNNNNNNNNNNNNNNNNNNNNNNNNNNNNNNNNNNNNNNNNNNNNNNNNNNNNNNNNNNNNNNNNNNNNNNNNNNNNNNNNNNNNNNNNNNNNNNNNNNNNNNNNNNNNNNNNNNNNNNNNNNNNNNNNNNNNNNNNNNNNNNNNNNNNNNNNNNNNNNNNNNNNNNNNNNNNNNNNNNNNNNNNNNNNNNNNNNNNNNNNNNNNNNNNNNNNNNNNNNNNNNNNNNNNNNNNNNNNNNNNNNNNNNNNNNNNNNNNNNNNNNNNNNNNNNNNNNNNNNNNNNNNNNNNNNNNNNNNNNNNNNNNNNNNNNNNNNNNNNNNNNNCGGAGCAUCGGGUGGAGAAAGAAAUGGAGCGUAGUUUAGGAUUAGUGUAGUUUAGUAUAGCUUUAGUUCAGUAUUUUCUAUUUUGGGAUUGUAUAAUUGGACUGAAUACUAAAUCUUGAUUUCUUUUGUUUGUUUGUUUUGAUUGAUUGUUUUAUGUGUUUUGUGUGGUUUAUACAUUCGUAAUGCCAAAAUUGCCGAUACACUCCACCAAGUGACCGUGGUCAAACCACGGGAUCGAGGGGUGCCUAACACCUUCCCCUUGGUCAACAGAAUUCCUUAGCCGGAAUCUCUAUUUGCGGAUCAGUUUGAGAGUCAAAAAUCAUUUUGAAGAGGAUUUUCCAAUCGUGACUUGGCACACCAGAUUAUGCCAAGUGGCGACUCUAAGUUUUUUUUCUUAAAUAUAAAAAUAAUCCUUUUUCAGAACAAAUCUUCAUGUUGUCACUUUAAUAAUGAAAACUCUUUCGACCCUUAAAAUCGAAUCUUUUUUUGGGGUUAGUAAAAUGGGGUGUGACAGUAAUCCAUUCCUCAAUUAUUUCUCUCUCCUUAAUACAUUUUCUUAACAAUUAAAUAUAAAAUUUCUUAGGGAAGAAGACAUAAAUUCUAAUAAAAAGAAGUAUAUUGUUGUUGCUAAUGGCAUGAAUAUGCUAUAUUUCAAAGAAGAUGACAAUAACGAUAAAGUUCGAUGUAAGAACAAACUUUUAUUACCAUUCAAGACAACUUGAACAAAGCAAAAUUCAAGAUGAAUUUUCUUAGAAAUUUUAACGACAAAAUCUCCAUCUUUAUUUUUUAUCAAGUUUGAUAUUUGUCUAUUUUUAAUAUAAACAACGUAGGUUUAUAUUAACGGAACUUUGCCUCCGUAAAAUUCUCUAUUUCUGAUACCUUUUUCACCAUUUUGUCAUUUUUGCUAUUAAUUUUCUCUGGCCACCUAAUUUAAAUUACUCGGACCAUGUCCAAAAUUUUCAUCUUGAAUUUUGCUUUGUUCAAAUAAUUACCUUCAAUGGUAAUAAAAGUUUGUUCUUGCAUCAAACUUUGUCAUUAUUGUCAUCUUCUCCAGAAUAUAGCAUAUUCAAGCCAUUAGCAACAACAAUAUACUUUCGUUUAUUAGAAUUUGUAUCUUCUGGUCUGUGAAAUUUUAUUUUGAAUUAUUGAGGUUAGAAAAGGUGGCAAGGAGAGAGAAACAAUUGAGAAAAUGGGCUACGAUUUAAUUUCAUGAAAGCAAGAAUUUCAUUAUUAUAAAUCCUACGUUUCUUUUAUAAAAAAAAUAGUCAAAGACCAAACUUGAUAAGUUUUGAAAUAGUUAAAGGAUCAAAUUGAUAAAUGUAUAGUUAAAGGACUAUUUUAAACCUACUCUUAUAGUUAAGGGACUAUUUAUAACAUUUUCUCUUCGAAAUUCUAUUAAAAUUGAGUUAACCAAAAUAGGAUGGGUAAUAGCUUCAUCAUAAAAAUCUAACGAGGAAAAAGGUAAAUUACAUAAAUUUCAUAAGUUAAAGGAGCUAAUAAUAGUUUUUAUCACAUUUUUGUCCAAUUACAUAAAAAUCCAGAAAUAUCAUUUUGUGAUACAUAUUUUAAUUCUUGAUACAUAUCCUGUGUGAUACAUAUUAAACUAAUAAAUGUGUAGAUACAUAUCGUGUGAUACGCAUUAACCUAGUAAAGUGGAGAUAUAUAUUUCUGAUACAUUUAUUUAAGUUAUGUUUUAAAACAUAUUGAUGAUACAUUUAUUUCGAACAGUUGUGAUUGAGGAGAUCAGCCAUAUAUAUCAUGAGCAAAAUGGAAAAUGUGGAAUUUUAUGUAAUUAUUAUAAAGAUUUGAGAUUUUAUGUAAGAAUACCCCUCAAAUUUGAAGGUUUGUGUAAUUUACCUUCUUUUUUUUUUCUGGUUAAAGUAGUAGAUUUAUGUUAAUAACAAAUUAAAUAGCGUCAUUUAGAGAAAAUAAGUUGUUACAGCCAGCGAAAAUAUUACUAGUAGUAGUAGUUUUCCUAGCAAAACAAGGCAAAAUAAAGGAGGGGUAGGCGGAAAGGUAAGUUCUCAAAAACAUGCUCGAUCGCUUCAUUCCUUCCAUAUCCAAAUUGUCAGAAGCAAGAUUACUGGUGAUACCAAUUGGACAAUUUAAUCAUCUUUGACUUCACAUAACACCUCGCAUUGAAGUGGAUGCGUGAGAUACGGACCCGGGUUUAGAGGUUUGUUCUGGCAGGACAUUAAACUCGUCAUUCAAACCAAGCGUGCAUGUAGACACAAGAGAAUGGUGGUUCCUGGAAGAGUAGAGGAUAGCCACAAAGAACCUUCCCUUCUUUCCUAGAUAACGAAGAGUGUAAAGAGCACGUUUAUCGUUAAGAACAUCAUCUUGGUGAACAGUGCUUGUUACGUCAACCUCAGAUAUUAUUAUAUUGUUUCUUCAUCAACUUUCUUGUUGGGGACGGGGACGGGGACGGGGACGGGCUCCGGCUCCAAAUCACGAAUGAUUAGCAAAAAUUGUGACUUGUAAUUCCUUUGGAAUGAGUAGAGGUGAUUUUCUACGAUUACAAAAUAAUCCCACCAAGGUAAUAACAAAAUAUGACUCGGUGUCGAUGAUUUUUCAGUGGUAUAAUAGGUAUACCAAGUCUGAUCCUUGAAGCUGAAAGCAAGAAGAGUACAUAUAGGGUGGUGGUCUCGUUUGAACGAACACGCCCGUCAACAAUCAGAGUGGCAAAUUCAUAGGCAAUUGCAGGUUUCACAAAAAUAUUGGCCGGGUCGAGGUAGUGAAACCCAGAUGACUACUCAUAUUCAGCAUCUCAAAGUGUGGCUUUCCGCCAUGCCAUGGGGAUUAUCAAAAGAGAUCGAUCACAUAAAGCCAGUGAUCAAUGAAGAAGACGAGUGGGUAACACGCACAUGGGAGCUUUCAACUUUGGGAUCGCGUAGUCCAUCCAUUUCCUCUUGGGAAUAUCAUAAACUUUGAUUUCGAGAGGAUAAAAUAAACAACCAUCAUCAUCUAAUUCUUCGUAACCAACAAAGUGUUGGGUUCAAAAUCGAGAGGCGUCAUGCGGAAGCUUAACGUUUGCAAACAAUAGAGAUGAUAAAUUAGAUGACAAAAAACUAUAAUAAAAACAUACUAUUAAUAUGGUUUGGCCAAACGGCCUACAUAUAAAAAACUAAUAUUGAAAAAAAUAUAAAAACUAUUGGGAGAAAAUCUCCACCUAAACGAGACUCUGUAAAGACUACAUUGUGAAUGCUAUUGUGUUAUGAUAUGAGAAGAGGGACCUUAUAUUUAUAGAGUUCCAAAACCUUUCCUCCAAGAAAAAGGUUAGCCAAAUAUGAAAAGUUUUAUAUUUUCUUUUCAGAAAAAAGUAAAAGUAAAUAUAGUUACUUUUAUUUUCCUUCCAAAAAAAAUAAAACUUAAAUUUGGUAAGAAAAUCAGAGCAAAAACCCUAACACAAAGUACAAUUCACGACCACCAGCGGUAUGUCCCAAUUUCAUUUUAAUAAAUGACGCACGUUGCUAGGAUUCCGGUUAAGAAAUUAUCCGAGGGGAAGGUGUUAGGCACCCCUCAAUCCCGUGGUUCCACCACGGUCGCUUGGUGGAGCAUAUCGGCUAAUUUGACACUAUGAAUGUAUAAACCACACAAAACACUCAAUCAAACAAAGAAAACAAAACAAGUCCAAAAAUAUAGUGUCCAGUCUAAUUAUUACAGCCCGAAAUAAAAAAGAACUGAAAAGUAAACCUACACUACUCCUAAACUACGCUCCAAUGUUGUACCUAAUGUCUCGGGCCUUGAUCUCGAGCCUUCUUUGCGUACAUGAUACUUUGGGGCAUUCCCCGGUGAAUAAGUACAAUGUGACCUCGGAGCAUUCCCGACAAAUGAAUACAUUUGAUGAAAUGUAAUAAAAUAGGAGGAAUCAUUCAACAUAGACAUUCACACAUUCAAUGAUAUAGAAUCCUACGAGUUGCCUACCCCGAAACCUAAAAUUUGCCUAUCAAUUUCGGCCUAAAACAUGACACUAUUGGGUUCAACAACAUAAUCAGUGUUCAUUUCAAAAUCAACAAAUCAAUCAAUCUUGCAACAAUCCAAUAUUCAACUUUUAUCGACUUUCAAUUCUGCCCCCAAGUUCAUUUUUUAUCAAUCACACCAUCAAGAUUACUUAAAUUCAUUCAACAUUCCACUAAAAUCACAUCGUCAAGCACAUAAUCAUAACAUCAACAAAAUCAAACAAUCGUAAUCACCGAACACGUAAUUACAACAUCGAUAUACUAAAUUAAAGUAAAAUAAAGAGCAAGACUUGUAGAGAUGGACCUUCCGAUAUUCAGCACUUGAAUGAAAAAAAGAAUCUGCGAUGGCGAACCUCGAAUCGAGACUUCAAUAACGACUAACAACUCCAAUACCAAAUCCCUAGGGCCUACAUGAAGGCGGGACUGGGUACGUUUUUCGAUAGCUUUCCACUGAAACAGUGAUCGAAUGAUAAUUUCCACCAAAAAAGUGACUCAACAUAGUAAUUUUUGUCGGAGCAAUAACCCAAAUCUAAGAAUUCCACCGGAAUCUGGAAUGUGGAAUUAUUUUUUAGAGCUAUUUAGUGUUUUUCUGUGAUUGAUGGUUAGAGAGAAGAGAUUUUCUGUUGGAUUCAAUAUGGGACACCACCUUUGAGAAAAAAACAUGGUUUUGGAAAAGGAGUGACUAUUCAGAUAGUUGUGUCUGUUCAAAAAAGACACAAUAUUUUGAAUGAACAGAUAUGACUCUUUCAAAGGAUACACCUUUUCAUAUGAACCAUUGCCACCUUUGGGAAGGGGCACUUGAUGUCUAUAUAAACCUGCAUUUAUCCACAGGUUUAGGUAUGAAAAAUUUUCUGAAUAUACAAACUCUUCUUGUCUUCAAAACAUUCCGUGUGAUCAAUUAAAUCGUUGAGUGAGUUCGAAGAGAUUCCAAUUGUUUGAUGUACCACUACAGUUGGUUUGUUUGGCCAUUUUAUCCUGGCAGAAAAAUUCCACAACCUCAGGUACUUGAGGGAAAUUAUUUUCUUAAGGACACUCCGUGAAUUCAGAGGACUUGGCCAUUUCUGUUUCAUCUUAAUUUCUGAAAAAAUAAAACACACUUCUUUGAAAUAUUAUUUUGAUCUUGUGUUGAGGGUGUUGUUGUACUUCAUAGUGUUCUUGUUUUAAACUUGAACUAGUGUUGAAGUAGUGUUGUGAAAAUACAGAUUAUGUGUACCCGAUAAACUACAAUCUUAACGAAAUAAUUUUGAAAAAAGAAAGAAAAAAAUUUCUUUUUUUGCUUGUUUGGUGAAAUUUUGUUUUCACUAAAGUUUUAUUUUUUCAGAAUCUAUAUUACUUAUUUUUGAAUAUUAAAGCUUUACGUUUUCUACUCCGUUUGAACUUAACUAGUGAUUCCAAGACAUAAAAUCUUCAUCACAAGUUAAAGAUCACUCGGUUGACGAUUGAAAGUCAUACAAACUUCAUCGUUAGCUAGAAACAAGAAGAAGAGUUUAAAGUUGCUUAACUUUAUAAGUAGUAUUCUGAAAAUACUAAAUUUUAUUGUCUUGUGGUGACAGAAAAAAUGAUUAAUGAAAGUCAAUGCAAGAUGCGGCUACGACUAUGGGGGCAACUAGUAUUGCCUCAACAAGUCGAGCAAAUGCUUCGCAACCAACGGCACCUGCGGAGAAGCCCAAAAAAUUUGCGGGCAUUGACUUUAAGCGAUGGUAGCAGAAGACGUUCUUCUACCUCAUAACACUAUGUCUUCAAAGGUUCACUAGUGAGGAUGCUCCUGAGGUGCCCGAGGAAACCUCGGACAAAGAGCGUUUCAUAAUUGUAGAGGCUUGGAAACACUCAGACUUCCAUUGCAGGAAUUAUAUUUUGAGUGGUCUCCAAGACGACCUCUACAAUGUUUACAGUGGAACUAAGACGUCGAAGAAAUUGUGGGGGGCACUAGAACGAAAAUAUAAGAUAGAGGAUGCGGGAAUUAAGAAGUUCUUUGUUGUAAGUUUCCUAGACUUUAAAAUGAUAGAUAGCAAAUCGGUUGUCUCUCAAGUGCAGGAAUUGUAAGUAAUCACCCAUGAUCUCCUAGCGGAAGGUAUAUCUUUGAAAAAUACCUUAGUUGAACGCAUUGAAAAUGUUCUAAGUACUCACAUAAACUAUUUUGUAGGUUUGAUUGUGGAUGAUGCAUUUCAAGUAGCAGCAAUAAUUGAGAAGCUACCACCUAUGUGGAAAGACUUCAAAAACUAGUUGAAGCACAAACACAAGGAGAUGACUGUCGAAGAUCUUAUUGUCCGACUGCAUAUUAAAGAGGAUAAUAAAGCUGCCGAGAGAAGGUCAAACGGGAAUUCUACAAUUAAUAGAGCACAUAUUGUAGAAGAUGACCAAAAUAAUUCUAAGAAAAGGAAGAAAGUUGAACAAGGAAGUAAUCAACCCAAGAAGAAGUUCAAGGGAAAGUGCUUCAACUGUGGCAAGAUUGGCCAUAAUUCCACGGAUUAUCGUGUCUCUAAGAAAGGCAAGAAAAAGGACCAAACAAAUAUGAUUGAGUCCAACAAAGAAUGUGAUGAUCUGUGUGCUAUGUUUUCAAAAUGUAACUUGGUGGGGAAUCCUCGCGAAUGGUGGAUGGAUUCUUGUGCCAUCCACCAUGUUUGUGCCAAUAAAGAGUUGUUUUCGAUAUUCGCUCCAGCUCAAGUAGAAGAAAUGAUUUACCUGGCUAACUCCGCUACGGCUAAGGUAGAAGGAACAGGAAAAGUGGGCUUGAAAAUGACUUCAGAAAAGGUCUUGACACUUAACAAUGUCUUGUACGUUCCAGAAUUACGUAGGAACUUGAUUUCUAUUUCACUUCUAGACAAGAAUGGAUUCAAAUGUGUAACCGUUUCUGGAAAAAUUGUAAUUAGCAAAGAAGAAGUGUAUGUAGGAAAAGGCUAUCUCAUCGAGGGCCUUUAUAAGAUGAAUGUAAUGAAUGUUGAAAUAAAUAAAAGUUCAAAUUCUUAUUACUUGCUUGAGUCUUAUAAUUUGUGGCAUGAACGUUUAGGCCAUGUUGAUUACAAAACGUUAUGAAAACUGAUUAACUUAGAAGUUUUGUAAAACUUUGAGUGCAAAAUAAAAAAUUAAAGUGUCAAACGUGUGUGGAAUCAAAGUAUGCAAAACAUCAUUAUAAGUCCGUUGAAAGGAAUUCUAAUUCCUUAGACUUAAUACACACUGACAUUUGUGAUAUGAAGUCAACACCAUCACAUGGUGGAAAAAAGUAUUUCAUAACUUUUAUUGACGAUUGCACUAGAUAUUGUUAUGUCUACUUGCUAAAUAGUAAGGAUGAAACAAUAGAUGCAUUUAGGCAAUACAAAACUGAAGUAGAAAAUCAGUUAGAGAAAAAUAUAAAAAUGAUAAGAAGCAAUAGGGGGGAGAAUAUGAAUCUCCCUUCGCCGAAAUAUGUGUAGAGAAUGGAAUUGUCCAUCAAACUAUGGCUCCUUAUUCACCUCAAUCUCACGAAAUUGCAGAAAGAAAUAAUCGAACUUUGAAGAAAAUGAUGAAUGUCUUGCUUAUAAGUUUCGAUUUACCGCAAAACUUAUUGGGGAGGCUAUCCUUACAGCCAAUCAUAUACUCAAUAGAGUUCCCCAUAGUAAGACAAUCGAUUCCUUAAUAAAAAUGGAAAGGAAGGAAACCCAACUUGAAAUAUUUCAAAGUAUAGGGGUUUCUAGCAAAGGUCCAAGUUUCUAUGCCUAAGAGGGUUAAGAUAGGACCUAAGACUAUGGACUGCGUGUUCAUAGGAUAUGUUAAAAGCAGUAAAACAUGUCAAUUUUUGGUUCAUAAAUUCGAACAUCCAGAUAUAAAUAAAAAUACGGUAAUUGAAUCAGAUAAUGCAGAAUUCUUUGAAAACAUUUCUCCGUAUAAAACUAGACAUGAACAGUCUAAAUGACCUCAAGAAGAACCAAGUAAGAAUGUACAUAAUGAAGAGAAUCCAAGACAUAGUACACGUCAAAGGACUUCUACUACAUUUGGAUCAGAUUUUGUAACACUUCUCUUAGAAAAUGAGCCUCAAACAUUUAAAGAAGUGAUGUCGUCGUUAGACUCAUCCUUUUGGAAAGAGGCAGUCAAUAGUGAAAUUAAUUAAAUCUUAAGCAACCAUACGUGGAAAUUGGUUGAUCUUCCUUCAUGAAAUAAACCUUUAGGUUCUAAAUGAAUCUUCAAAAGGAAAAUGAAAGAGGAUGGUACUAUUGACAAAUACAAAGAAAGACUUAUAGUAAAAGGAUUCAAUCAAAAAGAAGGCCUUGAUUACUUUGAUACAUACUCGCCAGUAAUAAGGAUAACAUCGAUUUGAAUGUUAAUUGCCUUGGAGGAAAUAUAUGGUCUUAAAAUCCAUCAAAUAGAUGUGAAAACCACAUUCCUAAAUGGAAAAUUAAAGGAAGAAAUUUACAUGGAACAACCUGAGGGUUCUGUGGUUCCAGAAAUGGAGAAUAAUGUGUGUAAACUUAUUAAGUCGUUAUAUGGACUAAAGCAAGCACCUAAACAAUGGCAUGCGAAGUUUGACCAAACCAUGUUGGCAAACGGGUUCAAGAUAGAUGAAUAUGAUAAAUGUGUUUACAAUAAAGACACUCCGAAUUACCAAGUCAUUGUUUGUUUAUAUAUGGAUGAUAUGUUGAUCAUCAGUAGAGACAUUUCUGACAUAAAUGCAAUGAAAUGAAUGCUCGAGAUUAAGUUUGAUAUGAAAGACCUUGGAGUUGCAGAUGUGAUCUUAGGAAUAAGAAUCCAUAGAACUCCAUAAGGGUUGGCAUUAUCACAGUCUCAUUAUAUCAAAAGUGUACUUGAAAAAUUCAAGUAUAUGAAAUUCGGUAUUGCCAAGACUCUAUUGGAUGUGAGCUUUGCACUUCGAAAGAAUGAAGGUGAAAGUGACUCACAAUUGGAGUAUGCAAGAGUAUUGGGAUGUUUAAUGUAUAUAAUGAAUUAUACACGACCAGACAUAGCAUGCGCUAUUAGUAACUUUAGUCGGUACACAAGUAAUUCCAACAAAACUCAUUGGAUGGCAAUGAAAAGAGUUUUGGGGUAUUUAAAAUACACUCAAGACUAUGUCUUACAUUAUAAUAAAUAUCCUAUAGUGAUACAAAUUGGAUCACCGGAUCGAACGAAGUAAAAUCGAAAAGUGGAUAUGUAUUUACUAUCGGUGGAGGAGCAGUCUCAUGGAAAUCAUACAAACAGACUUGUAUUGCUCGCUCUACAAUGGAAUCUGAAUUUAUCCCAUUGGAUAAGUCGGUGAAGAAGCAGAAUGACUCCGAAAUUUCUUGAAAGAUAUUCCUUAUUAUCCCAAACCAGUGGCACCAAUAUGUAUACACUGUGAUAGCCAAGUGGAAAUAGGUAGGGCAGGGAGCAUGAUGUACAAUAAUAAAUCUCAUCACAUAAAACGGAGACAUAAUACCAUUAAAGAACUUCUCUCUAGUGGAAUUAUCACUGUUGACUAUGUUAAGUCAAAGAAUAAUGUAUCGGAUCUACUUACAAAAGGCCUAUCUAGAGAAGGAGUGGAAAGGACAUCCAGGGGAAUGGGUUUAAGGCCUAGGACAAGUCAGUAUGGCGGUAACUCUACCUAGCAGACUGGAGAUCCUAAGAGCUAAGUUCAAGGAGAUCAAACAAAGUUGUGUCUAACAGGUUCAACAUUGUCAAUUACCCAACCCAUUCUCAAGAUGUAGACAAUAUGUAGUAAACAAGGAUAAGACUUAAGGUGAAAAGUCUUUUAAUGAUUAUCUAAAUUUGACAGAUUUGACCAAAUAGUUUAAUCUAUGGGGUUGAAAGUUUAGAAAUCACCUAUAUGAGGGCGAAGUAGAAGUCGCUUCAAGGAGAAUGUUAGUAAAGGCCUAUUCUCUAAGAUCUCAUGAAUUCGGGACGUGUUCAUGGCUGAAAAGAACAAAACCGUGAGAACCAUACACGAUAAAAGGCUGGUUGUGUGACAUGUGUUGUGUAGGUGUACAUUAAAGCUCGACGGUUCAAAGAUAUCAAAUCUACCUAUUGACUGAGUGCAUCCGAUGCAUGUUUACUACGAAAUGUUCAAAGGGAAACCCGCUUAUCCAGAUGCAAUCAGUCUUAGCUUAAUGAUCACAUACCUGUCCGUAAAAUUUUAUGAAAAAAUAGUUAUUCCCCAUUCAUGUGGGGGAUUGUUGGGUAAUAUGUAUGAAAAAGGUGUGAAUGAAAAAUGAAGGGACACAACCUUUGAGGAAAAGACAUAUUAUUUGGGAAAAGGAGUGACUAUUGAGAUAGUUGUGUUUGUUCAGAAAAAGACACAAUAUUUUGAAUGAACAGAUAUAACUCUUUCAAAGGAUACACCUUUUCAGAUGAACCAUUGCCACCUUUGGAAAGGGGUACUUGAUGGCUAUAUAAACCUGCAUUUAUCCAUAAGUUUAGGUAUGAAAAAUUUUCUGAAUAUACAAACUCUUCUUGUCUGCAAAACAUUCCGUGUGAACAAUUAAAUCGUUGAGUGAGUUCGAAGAGAUUUCAAUUGUUUGAGGUACCGCUACAGUUGGUUUGUUUGGUCAUUUUAUCCUGGGAGAAAAAUUCCACAACCUCAGGUACUUGAGGAAAAUUAUUUUCUUAAGGACACUCCGUGAAUUCGGAGGACUUGGCCAUUUCUGUUUCAUCUUAAUUUUUUGAAAAAAUAAAACACACUUCUUUGAAAGAUUAUUUUGAUCUUGUGUUGAGGGUGUUGUUGUACUUCAUAGUGUUCUUGUUUUAAAUUUAAAUUAGUGUUGAAAUAGUGUUGCGAAAAUACAGAUUGUGUGUACCCGAUAAACUACAUUUUCGAUGAGAAUCUCGCCAGAAAAGAUGCUUAGCCUUUUCCCAAUCUCUCACUGUGUUUCCCUUCCUCUACUGUUUUUCCUCUCUCAUUUGUCUGCUGUUUAAUCUUUCCCUUUCACUUCAUUUUUACUCUAUGUGUAUGUGCUCCAAUGGGGUGUGUGUGUUUCGAUGUAUUGUUGCCGUCUUCCCCUUAUAUUUUAUGAAUGUGUAUGAGUAAUGGAAUGGAAAAUUCCCCUCUUCUCGAUUCUCUACUGUGUGUGUUAAUAUCAUGUGUGGAUUUAAUGGCAUUUGUGUGUAGGUGUGAGCUUUUUUUAGGGUGAACGUGCUGUGUGUGUAUGGCGUACUGUAUAUGUAGCUGUGUAUGGGAAUUAUAUGUGUUGUUCUUCUGGAGAAAAAGAUACUUCUGUGGUGUGAGUGUAUAUACGAGAAUUGUGUGUGUGCUGUGAGUGAAAUUGUGAAGGUGUGAGAUCUGUUCUCUUUGUAUUGUAUUAGGUGUGUAUAUAUUGAUGGCUAUCUACGUCUAUGUAUAAGCUUCUGUGAGUGGGAAAAAAUGUCUAUUCUCUGGAAGGUUCCCCUCUAUACGUGCCUUCUCUAAGACGUGAUAAAGGGAUAAAGGGUAGGGGGUAGGGGUGGUGAGGUGGAUGUAGUGGUGUGAGGUGUCAAAAUUUAGGUAGGAUAAGGGAAUUUUAGGGGUCAGAGAUUUAAUUUUUUAGGAUUUAUUAUAUUUGUUUUCUUGUGAGGAAAGUGUGGAAUGGAUGAGGGUACGUGGUAAGGUGAGUUAAAAAUGAAUAAAAUUGAAUUUCGGGAGAAGUAAAAUUACAUGUCUACAAUAAUUAUUGUUAUUGUUAUUUUAGAUUUUAAUUUAACGUUUCUCUUUUUUUUUAAUGUGUAUUUUUUUCGCUGUAAAAAUAGAUUUUCAUCAUUCUGUUGUUGAUUGAAAAUACUAUUUCAACUAGCUCGGGAGACUAUUUUAACCUCAUUGCUUCAAAAAAAUAGAUUUUCACCAUAUAUAUUGUUGUUGGUUGACAGACUAUUUCAGCCUCAUAACUCCCCCAAUCAAUAGCACUACUGAUCAUUGCAUCUAUUAUUUUUACAUAUCUUUUGUAUAAAAUAAUACAAAGAUAUGGCUGGGGAGAUCAAGGGGCCAACCCCGAAUCGUGGCAUCGAAUUAUUGGUUAGUCGUUGAGGUGAUUUUAUCUUGUUGAUAAUAAAUAAAAAAAAAAGAUUAAAAAUGCCAAUAUUUUUUUAUUUUAUGACAAGCAAAAACUUCAUAAUUUGUUUGAACAUGGAAAAGUAAAUAUUUGUCAUAGUAGUAAAUUAACAUAAUGUUUCGAACCCACCAGGUCUGCAUAAAAUUUACUAUUCGAAUAUAAUUAAUAUCAAUUAAAAACUUCAAAAAUAAUCUGUUGUCAUAAAUAUCAAUAUUAUAUUAGUAUUCGAAUAUAACGAAACACAGAUUUUCAAUUGACGGUUACAAUCUUUUUUCAUCAUAUCCAGUGUUAAAUUGAUGAUAGUGCAUGUUCAAUUCGAAAUGUUAAGUGACUUAUUAAUCUCAAUUAGUUCAUUACAAAUGAAAAUAGGCAAGAAUAUGCCCAAUAAUAUGACUGCAAAAUGCACCUGUAAUGCACAAGAUACACCUGCGACGCACAAAAUGCACGUGAGACUCCUCAUAAGAUCAAAUUGUUAUAACUUUGUAAUAAUUUAAAUUUUAAUUGAUAUAAUUAGUGAAAUCUUGAAUAGUGAAUAAAGCAUGCACAAAAAGAACUCAACCUUUUUCUCUACUUUCCCAACUAUUCCCAUGCACCUUUGUAUAUUCAGUUAAAGUAGUUAACAUUUAAUUGUUAAGGUAAUUAGGAUUAGAGGUGAUUAAGAAUGGUUUAUCAGUAUAAAAGAAAGGGAAUUAUCUAAAGUUGUUCACAUAUCAUUUUACAUUUUAUAAGUAUAAAAAGGAAGGCAAUUAUCUAAAAGGUUCCCAUUUUGAUUUGUUACUCUUCUUACCACCAACUCUUUUUCAGUAUAAAAGGAAUGUUAUACUAGUUGUUCACAUAUCAUUCUAUAAUAAACAAUUUUACUCAUAUACUUCUCUAUACAACAUCAACUCACAAACACACAACAACUCAAGUAAGUACCUUAACCUGAUUAUAGAUUGUUGAUUAAUUAUUCUCCCUUGUUAAUUUGUUUAUGCCUAUCAAAACAAACAAUUUCAUGAAUUCAGAAAAUACUGAUAUAUUAUCAAUUAAUAACUGAAUGAUCAAAAGAUCAAAAGAAGUGUGAUAGAGAGAAGUAUAGGCGUAAAAUCGUUUAUUAUAAAAUGAUAUGUGAACAACUAGUAUAGCGUUCCUUUUAUACUGAAAAAGAGUUGGUGGUAAGAAGAGUAACAAAUCAAAAUGGGAAUCAACAUUACUCACUUUUCUCAUUAUUACAUAUAGAGUUUAUACAAAUUAUUACUGAUCAAUUAAAAAUGAAAUAAAAAAGAGAGGCUCAAUUUGACAGUCGUUGAACACUAACUCUCAAAUCCUUGACAAUUUCUCAUCUCGUCUAAACUCAACAACUUUCGAGUGGAACCUGUCAAACACAAAUAAGUGCACAAAACAAACUAACGAAAUCUCAAAAAACUUAGGCAUCCCACAAUCACCCAUUGACGUCUCCAAAAUCAUGAGGAUCUCAAGGAUCCUAGGCAAGGCUCCCAUCAAGGGGAUUAUGAAAUACAAUAAGAUAGUAGCUAGAUGUUUGUGAAUAGUAAAUAAUUUAAUAAAUAUAGAUACAUUACGUAAAAAAAAUUAUAUUUACGGAAGAUACAUACCCCCAAAAAAAGAAAUUACACGCACAUAUUUUAUAUUAAUAAUCGCGCGAAAUGCGAUAUAUUUUAUUAGUUUUUACUAUUAUACAAAAUCACACAUUUUCAUACAAACUAAUAUGUUACACACAUAUUUUAUUAGUUUUUAUUACACAUAUUUUACGCACAUUGGCCAGUAUACCCAUUAUCCCAUCCCGUGACAUCGUCUUAGGAAGCCUGCAAAAAAAAAAACAAAAAGAAAAAAAAAAAGAAUGGUGAUUGCAUUAUUUAGAAAGGAGCAAGAUGAAAUUAGUAGUAGUAGUAAAUACUACUAACCGAUAGUUCGAUUCCCUUAUCCGGAUUGGCCUCACGAUGUCCCCAUUUGUAUCUUUGUAUAGUUUUAUACAGAAGAUAUGAGAAAAUAGCAGCUACAAUGAUUAGUAGCGCUACUGAUUGAGGAGUUUUAAGGUUAAAAAAGUCAUUCGAGUUGGCUGACAUAGUAUUGUCAAUCAAUAACAGAAUGACUAAAAUUUAUUUUUAAAGCAAAAAUAAAAAAAUUCACAUUAGAAAAACCAGAAGAGAAACAUUAAAUUAAAAUCUAAAAUAAUAAUAAAUAUAAUUAUAGUACCGUAUACCUUCAUUUGUAGUUUAUAUACGGUGUCCAUUUUCCAACGUAAUAGUUAAAACGUGUUAGAACUUUCUCAAUUUUAAUAUCAACAUGUCAGAUUUAUCUACAUUGCCCUUAAGUUGUUUCUACGUACAUGUGUGUUAUUCCACAGUAAAACAUAUAGGCUUUAAUGACAUAAACAUGUCAUAUUUGACCUCUACGUGUGUGGUUUCACGUGCAUUUUGUGCAUUAUAGGUGCAUCUUGUGCACUAUACGUGCAUCAAGCAGUUGUAUUCUUUGGCAUAUUCUCAGCUGUUUUCAUUUGUACUGAACUAAUUGCCAUUGCAAAUUAAAAAACUUUUGUAAGUUCUAUAAGUUUUGAUGAAAUUUAUAUUCAGAUUGUUACAAUAAAGAAAAAAAAUUUCUUUUCAAAUUCGCAAAUCACAACUUCUGGCAAUAUUAGAAUAAUACACCAACAAAUUUAAUUUAAAAGAAAAAAUAAAUUGUACCUUUGUGCGAGCAUGUUUUCGUGUAAAGAGAGCCAACACAUCUACUCUGCGCACCUAGGAAUAUUUGAUACCAACAAAGUGCAAAAAUUGUUGCUGCUGGUUUACCAAAAAACAUUGUUUCUUUACGCCCAUUGUUAAUAUAAUUUCAUUUCUUCACUUUGUAUAUAAAAUGCACCUUAUUAUAUACUUUCUUGUAUGCAUUACUCAAGAAAUAGCAUUCUAUUAUUCUAUUUUCUUGAGUGUACAUUUUUGCAACUCACUUUAAAAAAGAAAAAUGUACGUGUAUAUUCCUGAAGAGUACGUUAUUCAACGUUGACUCGAGAAAAAAACUGCUUCUACUUCUGCUAUUGGUACGACUAAUAAACUCGGUACGGAAAAGGGCAGGAAGGUGUUUCGUUCGAAUAAAAAAGAAGGGAAAAUAGUCAAACUGUUAUAAAUGUAUUUACAUUAUAGUGAAUGUCUAUCAAGAUCUAUUAAGAUCUACUUUGAUAUUUAUUAGGAUUUGAAGAAUUCGUCUUUUACUCAGACUAGGAGUAAAUUUUUCUAUAAAUAGAGAGGUUCUGUUCAUUGUAUUUACAAUCUUAUGAUCACUCAUCCCUCAAGAGAAGAAAUAACAAUUACUCUCUCUAUUCUCUCUACUCUUCUUCUUUAUUCUUUCUUGUUUUAAUAACAUGUUAUCAGCACGAGACUCUGACAAACAAGGUGAGAUUAUAAAUCUGAACGAUUUCAAGGUUAGUAAUUCCAUAUGUUAUCUUUCUUUAGCUACUACUAAUAUAAUUAUUAUUGGAUUUGAGAAAAAAAUAAUUGGUUUGGAACCAUUUAUAUUUUAAAUUUAUUCCUCAAGAACAAUAUUAUCAAAAAGGAUGAUAAUAUGUUGGGUUCAAGUCCCAUCGAUUCGUCCCUAAGANNNNNNNNNNNNNNNNNNNNNNNNNNNNNNNNNNNNNNNNNNNNNNNNNNNNNNNNNNNNNNNNNNNNNNNNNNNNNNNNNNNNNNNNNNNNNNNNNNNNNNNNNNNNNNNNNNNNNNNNNNNNNNNNNNNNNNNNNNNNNNNNNNNNNNNNNNNNNNNNNNNNNNNNNNNNNNNNNNNNNNNNNNNNNNNNNNNNNNNNNNNNNNNNNNNNNNNNNNNNNNNNNNNNNNNNNNNNNNNNNNNNNNNNNNNNNNNNNNNNNNNNNNNNNNNNNNNNNNNNNNNNNNNNNNNNNNNNNNNNNNNNNNNNNNNNNNNNNNNNNNNNNNNNNNNNNNNNNNNNNNNNNNNNNNNNNNNNNNNNNNNNNNNNNNNNNNNNNNNNNNNNNNNNNNNNNNNNNNNNNNNNNNNNNNNNNNNNNNNNNNNNNNNNNNNNNNNNNNNNNNNNNNNNNNNNNNNNNNNNNNNNNNNNNNNNNNNNNNNNNNNNNNNNNNNNNNNNNNNNNNNNNNNNNNNNNNNNNNNNNNNGUAAACUUGGAGUUUACUAGAAUAAAAGUUCAUAAAUUGAUAUGAACGAUUGUGACAUCUCGAAGAUGUGCAUGUAUUGAAGAACUAGAAGGUUCUUCAAGAAUUGUUUAUGUCGUUGUUCUAAUGAUAAGUUAGUUGAACCAACUAAUAUUAGGAUUGAAUCCCUUCAAAUCUGAAAAUUAUAAAAGGUGAAUAAGGGCCCGUUCAUCUAUCGUGUGAUUGUUGAAAAGAUGCAUCAAUAAGAUCACAUUUACAUUGAUUGUCAACCUGCAGUUUGACAUUCAUAAAGUUGCUUGCUCAAUAAAAUUGAGUUAAGAAUAUAAUUUUCAGAUUGUGCAAUCAAAAAAGUUAUAUUGAUGAUGAUGGUUUCGGAUUGAAUGCCUUCGAUAAAUAGCUAAAUCAUUAUUAAUGAGAACAAAACUUCAUGUAUUAGUCUAAAAUAUGAUAUAUUGCAAUAGCAUUUGUAUGCAUUAGACCAAUAAAUUAUGAUUAUUUCUUCUCUCUCAAUUGGUUCAAGGUCGGGAAUCAAUUAAUUCAUCUAAUAAUUUUAAUGUGCGGUAUUCGAUUAAUAAAUAUACCAUAAUACACAAAUAUGGAUUCCUCAAAGAAGUAGAGAAUGUAUGUUAGUUUUUCUAACAUAGGGGGAGAUUAUAAGUGCUAUGAAAUGUGUUAGGAAUUAUCAUCAUAUCCUCAUCCAAAAGAUAAUUCAAGUCAAAUGCUGAAAGCAUCUCAUAUUAAGCGCAAGUGCUCUUAUUUUGUGUUCCUAAAGGACAAAGUCUAUGCAUGCGUGAAGCGUGGUAGACUGAUCGGUUCCAAAUGAAAUAGUCCUUGAAAAAUAAGNNNNNNNNNNNNNNNNNNNNNNNNNNNNNNNNNNNNNNNNNNNNNNNNNNNNNNNNNNNNNNNNNNNNNNNNNNNNNNNNNNNNNNNNNNNNNNNNNNNNNNNNNNNNNNNNNNNNNNNNNNNNNNNNNNNNNNNNNNNNNNNNNNNNNNNNNNNNNNNNNNNNNNNNNNNNNNNNNNNNNNNNNNNNNNNNNNNNNNNNNNNNNNNNNNNNNNNNNNNNNNNNNNNNNNNNNNNNNNNNNNNNNNNNNNNNNNNNNNNNNNNNNNNNNNNNNNNNNNNNNNNNNNNNNNNNNNNNNNNNNNNNNNNNNNNNNNNNNNNNNNNNNNNNNNNNNNNNNNNNNNNNNNNNNNNNNNNNNNNNNNNNNNNNNNNNNNNNNNNNNNNNNNNNNNNNNNNNNNNNNNNNNNNNNNNNNNNNNNNNNNNNNNNNNNNNNNNNNNNNNNNNNNNNNNNNNNNNNNNNNNNNNNNNNNNNNNNNNNNNNNNNNNNNNNNNNNNNNNNNNNNNNNNNNNNNNNNNNNNNNNNNNNNNNNNNNNNNNNNNNNNNNNNNCGAUCUUAUUGGCCAUGCUGAUGUUGGGUACUUAUCUGACCCGCAUAAAGUUCGGUCUCAAAUAGGCUAUAUGUUCAUAUGUGGUGGUACUGUCAUAUCUUGAAGAUAUACAAAGCAGUCUAUCGUAGCCACUUCAUCGAAUCAUGCUGAGAUAAUAACUAUUCAUGAAGCAAGCCGAGAAUGUGUAUGGUUGAGGGCUAUGAUACAUCUCAUUCGAGAAAAAUGUGGUGUGAAAUAUGACAAUUUACCCACAAUUUUAUACAGAGAUAAUUCAGCAUACAUCGCACAUCUUAAGGGAGGAUUCAUAAAUGGAGAUAGAACGAAGCACAUUUUACCAAAGUUUUUCUACAUACAUGAGCUACAAAAGAAUGAUGAUAUUAACGUGCAACAGAUUCGUUCAACUGACAAUAUGACUGAUUUAUUCACCAAAUCUUCUCCAAUUGCAACUUUCAAGAAGAUGCUGCACAAGAUUGGGAUGCAAAAGUUCAAGGAUGUUCUUAUUAAGGGGAGCAAAUACGCGAUGUACUCUUUUUUUCUUUCAAGGUUUUGUCCCACCGAGUUUUUCUUGUAAGAUUUUUAAUGAGCCAGCCUAUAUGUAUAUUGUUAGAGAUGUGUAAUCUUUUUCCUUCACUAGAUUUUUUUUUCCACUGUAUUUUUUCUAGGAAGGUUUUAACGUGGCACAUUAUCUACCAAUUAGACAUUCAAGGGGGAGUGUUAUAAAUGUAUUUAAAUUAUAGUGGAUGUCUAUCAAGAUCUAUCAAGAUCUACUUUGAUAUCUAUUAGGAUUUGAAGCAUCCGUCUUUUACUCAAACUAGGAGUAAAUUUUCCCUAUAAAUAGAGGAAUUUUGUUCAUUGUAUUUACAAUCUUAUGAUCUCUCAUCCCUCAAGAGAAGAAAUAACAAUUACUCUCUCUAUUCUCUCUACUCUUCUUCUUUAUUCUUUCUUGUUUUAUAACACAAACAAUCCUCUUUUAUGGUAGAGGAUAAUAAUAAUAAUAGGAGUUAUAUUUGCAAAACAAGUUCUGUUUUUGGGGAGAAUGAUGUUUUCACAUACUUUUCUACUUAAUCUUAGUUAAUAUUAAUUGCUAGUACUAAGUAGGUAAUUAUUAGUUGUUGAAUUUUUAGAGAAAGAUUUAAGGCUAGUAGCUAUGACUUGUAAUUCCAUGUGUAUAGGACUAGUUUUACUUCUUAAUCCUGGUAAGAAAACUAACUCUUAUUUAUGUGAGAUAAAUAUUUCGUGACUACACUCGUAGUUUCUUGUUCUUCAAUCUGUUAACAAUUAUCAUAUUAUUUUGUUGUAAUGUUGUUUCAUUUCAAAAUGUUUUGUCAUGCUUUACUAGUAUUUUAUUGUGGCUUCUUCACUUUCGUUAUUUUAUUUUUCUAAAAUUGUUUGAAUUAUUGUUCCUCGAAUCGAGGGUCUAUCAAAAUCACUCUAGUUUAAUUUUACAUACUAUCUUACCCAAACUCCAUUUAUGAAAUUACACUUGAUAUGUUGUUGUUAGAGAGGCACUCGAUGAUGGAUCACAUUUGACCAACAUCAUGGAUCACAUUCCGGAUUUGGCUAAAAAUGUAAGGCUUCAGUUUGAAUUGGGCCCAAUGCUUAAUAUCAGUAAUUUUGCAAGUUUGAGCCCAUCAAUCAGAUGGGCCUAAAUAUGACCAAACAAGGCCCAUAUCUCUUUUUUCAAGUGUCACAUAUAUAUCAUAGUACCUUAGAUCACUAACGUUAUCCUAGAAUAAUUAAGGUUUUUUUCUUUUCUUAAAAGAAGUAUAUAAAUUUCGACAGUUUGAAGUUUAAUUAUAGAAAAUUUUAAACCUUUGCAUAAUUUUCGAAAAUCCCAAUUUUGAAUCUGUCGAGAUAUAUAAUUAGCUCUCGAUAUAUCGAACAAAGAUAUUUUUUUUCCUUUGUAAAGAUACAUAAUUAGCUUUUGAUACAUUUUUUUCGAUUUUGGUCUAUCGAGAUACAUAAUUAGGUCCCAAUACAUUCAUCUAAAAUACAUAAUUAGUUAGAAUUUUUAUAAUUACUUCGUAAGGAUGGAAAUUUGUGUAAAUAUGAUAAGUUGGAUGUAUGUUUAUGUUUUUCUUUUUUGUUGCUGUUGUUGGUUGUGGGUGGGUGGGGGAGCAUAUUUAGCACACAUUAUAGUUGUACCAAAGUUGGUAAUAAAAAAAAUUAUACAUGCAAUAUAGGGUCAUAUGACAUGUAAUAUUUCCAUUUGUAUUACUUUAAUGAACACAGACUUUUGCCACGUGAGAAUUUCAACCUUUGAACUGUCUAGCACAUGGUAAAAUGCUAGUGUUUCACUUGAAAAAUCUUCACUAAUUAUUAUUAAUUCUCAGAUCCAAUGUGUACCAUGACUUGUUUUUUCAUGUAUUCAUUUAUCAAUGAUCAUGAUUGAGUAAAAUAAUAAUUUAUAAUCUUAUUCCGCGAUUGCAUCUAAUGAAUUAUGAACUAGACGGUCACUGCAUGAAAGAACUAUGUUUAGGGAAUAAUUGCCCCUAUUCAUCUCACAAGGUACAUUUUGUAUAUUACUACUAGAAUUUUCUUUUUACUGCUAUUUAUAAAAACAUUAUAUCGUCACAAUUCAUCAUUUAUGCACGAUAAAAUUAAUUUGAUUUGACAUAAAUAUGUGACAUAUGCGUGUAAUUUUUUAAAUAUAUUUUUUUUUUUUGAUAUGUAUCUUAUGUUUGUAUCUAUCUUUAUACUUUCUCACUUUUUCCCUUUUUUUGCUUCUAUUAAAGAACACAUGACAUGAGAGGUGAGAGGAGCCAUUAUCAUUAUGGGGACAAGAAAUUAAGGCAAAAGCAAGUCAUGUGUUUGUGAAUCUAAUGCUGUCUUCUUGAAAAUAAUUGGACCCCUCUCCUCUCCUGUCUCAAUGCCAUAUAGUACUAUGUGAUACUGUGUGUCUCUGUCUUUAGCUGGGAGAGAAACAACGACAGAGUAAGAAUUUUUAUUAGGAUUCAAAAUAUAUAAAAAAUAUAACUACAAAAAAAAUCACAGGAAGCUAGCAUUUACUAUAUAUAUAUAAAAUACAUAAUUAUAAUUAUGUAUAAAUAAUAUAACUAUUUGAUCAAAGAAAAUUUGGAUGAAUCCCUCGAUCUACCUGACUUCGACCCUGAUGGGAUAUAUAUGGUUGGAGCUUGAGGGUCAUCCGAACUUUCUUAUAUAUAUAAAGUUAAUUAAAAUUAUUUUUUAUUUAUAUAUUACAUAUAUUGAAUUUUCUUUGUUUUUUUUACGAGUAAAGCAUCUAGUAUCCUUGAAUUAUGACUAAAUUUGCUACGACAUAUUUCAACUUCAUGGGUCCUAUUAUCCUCCUGAACUCAAUAUUAGCAUAUUUUUGUCACCCUUUUGUGCUGACCUGAUACCUUUUGUCAACUUUUUUUUACUAGUGUGACAUCUUUGACAUGAAACCCAUUUUAUGUAAUAAAAAUUCCACGUCAGCAUAAAAUAGUGAUAAAAAUACGUUAACAUUGAGUUCAGGGGUAAUAGAACCCCUGUGAAGUUGGAGUGCGUCGCAGCGACUUUGAUCAUAGUUCGAAGAGGUACCGGAUGCUUUUCUCUUUUCCUGAAUUUAUUUUUAGUGAAAAUUUGAAUUUUUUAUUUGAUUUUCCACCCAGUAAUCGAUAUUCACAUUACAGCUCCGACUAAUUUGAAUCGCUCGCUACCGAAUGACGCUCUAAUUUUUUUUUUUUUAUAUACUCAAGUAUUGAAUUGGAGGCUUUUGGAGUUAUUGCUUGGUUGUUAUUGGGGUAGAGGGGUGGGUGGGGGUGGGGUUUGAAGGUAGGGAGCCACCACAUGAGCACCUUGUGUUGUCUCCUUUUCGUGCACAUUAUCUAAUGAUUAAUUCUGCACCUUCUUCUUCUUGUUUUACAGGGAAGAAAAAGUCUUUUAUGAUCUUUUUCUUCUUAAAUUAUUCUCUUUUUCUUUUUGAUGAAUUUUUACUUUUAUGUACUAAUUAUCUUCUUUGAUCUUUUUUCUUUUUUCACUUUAGGGUAACCUCCUCUUCAAGUAAAUUAAAAUGAAAGCUUUUGAUGACAUGUGAUCAUGUGAUUGAAAAAAACAGAAAAGGAAAAAAAAAACAUCAUUAUUGUAUGUACAUAAAAUAAAAAAAGCAAUCAUCCCCCUCGUGACCAAAAGUGAGAUCAUCUAUUGACUAAUUAAUUAGCCUUUUGUCUAGCGUGAUAUAUAUUAAUUAAAUUGCAUUUCAAAUUUUUUCUUUCAAGAUUAUUCAAAUAUUAAACAUAAUUAUCUUUUAGGUCAUGAUCUAGCUAGAAUCACAAGAUUUCUAAAGCCCUUCUUGUUACUGAUAAAAUCUAUUUGUACUACCUAAUUAUUAUGGCCUUUACCCUUGAUUAUUCUAAUUGGUCUCUUGCUGUACCAUACUUUUCAAUUUAUUUAAUUGAUAUGACAUCAGAUCCUCAAAGCUCCCCAGAAACAACCCCGCAACCCACCCCACCCUCCACCCCGCACCCCCAAAAAAAAGACCAUUAAAGCUUAAUUAUAUACAAAUUGCAAUCUUCUUGUAACUUCAAAAAAGACUGUCAUAGUGUCAUGUGAAAUAGUUCUCAUCACAUGACAGAAAGCAACAAAUUGACCCUUGAAUUUAAUAUCCUAACAAAUUGACCCUUGAAUUUAAUAUCCUAAAGUUUGUGUUUGUAUGUGCAGAUGAUUUGUAAAUUAUGAAACUAAUGUUUCUUGGAUUUUUUGAAGUUUUUUUUUUAUAUUAUGACAAGAUCUUUUAUUUCAUGACAUGAUUGUAGAAACAUGUCGUUGUGCGACUCUAAUUAUAGAAAUAAUAAUAAUUGAUGUUCCACAUUAUAAUAUAUGAAAGUCGAAAAAUUAAAAAGGAAUUAAUCAUCUUUAUUAUAUAUACAUUUUCAAUAUAAGAAAUGACACUUAUAUUAAUAUGGUUGAAAUUGUUAUAACAGAUUAUUUGUUAUAUUUACAAGUUUAUUAUAUAAGGAAACUGCUAUGACCAAUUAUUGGUAGUUAAUUUUAAGUCGACUUAAAAUCUGAUGAUGUGAAAAAAUUAUACACUGAAUUAACCUGAUAGUAGUGUAGAUAAAGCUUUGAUAAAAGAUGGAUGUUGGUGAAGCUACAUCUAACUCUUUAAUGUAUGAUAACUUUUCAAAUUUAUUGAAACUUGAGAUCUUUCUCAUGUAUGAUAACUUUAGAAAUUUACUGAAAUUUUGAGUGGUUAUACCUAUCCUGAAUUUGUAUGUUACCUUAUAUGCUUUUUUUUUUUUUUUGUUUCUUAAUAUUUCUUGGUUAUGCUCGUGAUAGAGGGUGGACCGAUAAGAAUAGAUCAAAGAAGAGGAUUGACAGGAAUUUAGAUCGAAAGACUUUAGAAAAAUAAUGUACAUGACAUCAUAGGCGAAUUUCAUGUCAGGUGAUAAAGAAAAGUGAAAAGUAAUUAUAUAAAUAUAGCACAAGUUCACAAAGUGAUAAGAUCUAUAUUGGUCAUUGGAUCAAAACGAAUAAUACGUGUCAUGGGCUAGCUUUGUGUCACUACUGUUGUUAGUAGGAAUUGUUCACCUCAGCAUAAGUCUAUGUACGUAGAUUAAUAUAUGUUACUUAUUAAUUUGUUAGGUAAGUAUUACAUAAUGAUAGACUAAUUAUGACUAGUUACUACCUAAAAAUCCACCUAACCUUUUAGCAAAAAAUAGAAAGAUAAAAAUGUACUUAAUUAAAUUGAAUUAAAGGGGUUGAUGAAAAAGAAAGUUGAUUAGCAAGUGGAUAAAAAGAAGCUCUCACAAGAAAGUUGAAGAGGACCAUCUUAAAAAGACCAUCAAUCAUAUUUGUUCACAAGUAUAUAUGUUCACUUUCUUUUUUCUCUUAGAUGAAGCCUUAUCUCCAAACUUUUUUUGCAUUAUUAAGUUAUCUUAAGGGCACAAAAUUUCUUGAAAGAGUAAUUUGACUUAAUUUAGAUGUUGACAAAUGACAAUACUUUACCUGAUCAAUUAACUAAUCUAUCAAUAUUGGGGUUAAUAUUUUUUCCCCUAAUUAGGCAGACAUACUUGAGAACCAAAAUGGAUUACAAGAAAGAAUUUGACCAUCUCAUUUGGUGAUUAGAAUUUUGACCAUCUUGGUGAUGGAAGUUCGUUGAAGUUAAAGUGAUAUAACAUUUUAACUAUUUAUGCUUUAAUUCUCCGAUUUAAUUGGAGGGCUAAUCUGUUCGGCCAAACCUUUAAAUAGACUUUUUCUCGACAUUUUUCUUUUAUUAUUGUCGUACGUUGAUUUCAUACCUAAUUGUAUGGGGUAUUACGUAUUCACUAUUAAGCCUAUGCCCAUCCAUUUCUUUCAAGCUUGAUCCUUCCCCAGACUCGUUACCUUGUUCAAAAUGAAAUAGUUGGUUUUACGAUGAUCGUAAUCCGGUUCGAGAACCUUCUUUCAUAGAUUCCCUUCACCAAGUCAUCGUCUUAGACUCACCAUAAGUAAGAGCAUUUUGGAGCAAUAAGAGCAUUUUGGAGCAAUAUUGUAGGCAAAUCAUGAGGGGACUAACUAGCUACUUAGAUUGAUAGUAAAAGUAGCUCUUGAAUUGGAUAUCAUGUUCUCAUGAUUGUACCUUUUGCAGAAAAUCUUGUACCUUGCUCUUGUAAUAUGCCUUCUAGUCACUUUUUACAGAGGCUUUAAUUAAUUAAAGACCACAUAUCAUAGUUAACAAAAAUAAAAAAUAAAAAUUUAAGAUUAAAGAUUUUGGCUUCAUGGAGUAGAUGAACCCUCUUGUAUUUUCCAUCAUACCAUUUACUAUAUGGUGGGCUAGUAUGCCAGAAGAUAUUUUUAUGAUUAUGUACUAUAAAAUAAAUGCCAACUCCACUCUUAUUUGUCUUUCAACAAUCAAAGCUCACAAGUUUAAUUUGAUAUAUGGAGGUAUAAAAAAUAUUUACACAAUCAAGUUGUUAUUAUUAAGUAAUUACAGGUGAAUCUCUUCAUAAGCAUUAAUAAUUGGCCAUUUGGUCUAUAUGGUACUUGACCUACUAUAAAUAGGUUAUUUACUAAUAGUUACAAUUAAUUCUAAAUUCAUUUUUCUGAGUUACCUUACUUUUCUCUCUAUUUCAAUGUGAAAUUCGCUUUAAGAUGUAACAUGCAUCUGUCAUAUUAAUGUCAUGCUUCAUUGAAACCACUACAAAAUUGCCUUCCAACAGUACGAAUUGGACACGCCAAGGUCUAUACUGUGUGUUCAUUAUAGACCGGACCGGCUUAACCAUAAAGCUACUAAAGCAAUGGCUUGAGGUCCUAACUUUUAUGAAGCCUCCAUUUUAAAGCUAGAAGAUAGUUCACAGUGGUAAUAUAUACACGCAUAUUUAACAAUAAUAUCUGUGUGAUUCAAAAAUAUUUUUACUAUUUGAUAACGAAAUGCACGUAUGACGCACAAAAUGCACAUAAAAUGUGUGUACGUUGUAGACACCUAAUUUUGUCCCUCCCAAGUCCAAUUUUAUUCAUUUUUACCUCACUUUAUCAUACACUCUUACCCACGUGAUUAUACCCUCCAUAAAAUGACAAAAAUAACAACCCUUAACAAAUUUUAUCUUGUUUUGAUCCUAUCCUAACAAACUUUAUCCUUACACGUCACCUACCCUACCUCUACCCCACCUACCCUACCUCACUACCCCACCCUCACCUCACUGGAAUUGAAUUCCACUCACAAUAUAAUAACACUUCACACACGGAAUAAAGGAACGGAUUUUUGCUUCUUCUUCUUCUUUUCACACAGAGCACACACGGAUAUAUACGCACACUAACACACUCACUUCAUCAUCAACAUCACUCAAAAAAUCUAUGGAAUAGAUAUUCACAUCCACCAUUAACACCACACGGCACCUCACAAAACCAAUCUCUCCACCAUUAGCGCACACAACUCACAUCACUCUCACGCUCUACACGAAACCACAAACAUACCCACAUAGAGAUUGAGGUGGGAGAGAAACACAUUGAGGUCAAGAGAGGAGAGGCAAGGGAGAGAAAACCACUGAAAAUCAAGAGAGAGAGAGAUCGGAGACCGGUGAGUCUUCGCCUGAAGCUCACCGGAAAGGGCUCAUCCGUCGUCGGAAUCGACAAAACCAGCCCCCAAACAACUGAAGUCGACCUGUUAUGGGUUGAUUCCGGCCAUUUCCACCAGAAAAUUAUUCUGUCGCCCAUCACCGAUCAACCACAGCUGCAACCCAUUGAAAAUCGUUCAAAAACCUACGACCAAACUUCACCACUGCUACUGUUACUGUUUCGACAGCAGAAAUAAGUCGGAAAAGUAAUAUUCCCACUGAUUGAGUUUUGAGUGACGACAGUCGUGGAUUCCGUUUGAGAACCUCAAUUUGAGUUUGGGUUAGUCGUUGUCUUUGAUUGGGGUCGGUCCGUUCGUGUUGAGGAUUCCUCUUCGAGCUUUCGAAUUUCGGACUUUGGCUUUCAUUAAUUCAUUAUUACCAGUGAAAAAUCUGCGCUCUUGAGGUCCAAUUCUACUCCUUUCAUCUUUUAUUCCAUUUAUUAGUGAUGUUUGAUGCGUUGAAUUGAAUAUCGUUAAUUGCUUGUGUGUGAUGUGAAUGAUGAAUAUUGAGUUUACGAUAGUUGUGGAUUGUUGGAACUAGUGGUGUGAAUUAUUAUGUUUGAAUUUCGGUUUAAAAUUAGAUCGGGGUGGGAUUGAGGAUUGAAUAAUUUAUAAAAGUGAAUACGUAUUUGUUUUGAUUCAUUAUUAGCGCUUUAAUUUGGAAUAAGCAUGAAUUUUGUUGAAACAGAUAGGCAAACGUAGGUCGGGUAGGUGAAUGUAGGGAUUGUGGAUUGAUGGAAUAUUUGAGUUGUGUGCUUGAAUGGUUUUUUUUUAGCUAUAUUGUGUUGGGAUCCUUUGUAUCAUUUGGCCGGGAAAUGCCCCGAAGUACUUGUACUGAUUUAUCCGGGGAAUGCCCCGAGGUAUCUUGUACUUGAAAAAUAUUCGUGGUGAAGGCCCAAGGCAUCGGGUAAAGCACGGAAGCAUAGUUAAAAUUAGUAUCGGUUAGAUGUGAUUUAUUUUUGCAUUUUUUUAUUUGGACUGGACACUGUACUUUUGAUUCAUUUUUGUUUUGUUUGUCUGUUUGAUUAUUUUACGUAUUUUGUGUGGUUUGUACAUUCGUAGUGUCAAAAUUAGCCGAUACGCUCCACCAAUCGACCUUGGUAGAACCACGAGAUCGAGGGGUGCCUAACACCUUCCCCUCGCUCAACAGAAUUCCUUAGCCGAAAUCUCUAUUCGCAAACCAGUUUCAAAGAGUCAAAUGGUUUUGAAAAGGAUUUUUAAAGGUGACUUGGCACACCGAGUUUAUGUCAAGUGGCGACUCUGAAUAAAAAUGUAAAUAAUCCCUUUUCGAAAUAAAUUUUUAAUCUUUUGUCACUCAAUAAAUCAAAACCCUUUCGAAAUGUAAAAUCUAAUUUUUCUCGGUUAAAAAAGGGGUGUGACAGCUCUGGCGACUCUGCUGGGGAACUAUUUCAGAAUCUGAGCUUUUUUUUUGGAGUCGUAUCGGCUUUGUUUGGCAUGACGAGUGUAUAAGCAUUGUUUGUGAUUUUUGUUUGUGUUUUCACUUUUAUGCGUUUUCGUGCUCUUUGUUUACAGUAUUUAUCCUAUGUGUUUACCGCUUUUAUAUCUGAAAUCAUGUGAGUAACCCGAGUCAUUCUUUCCGCAACAAGUCUCGAAGCGCACGUUGUACGCACGAACUCUAGUUGAGUCACCUUUAUUUUAGGGGGAGAACCGUUGGAUGUAUGGAGUAGGUGGAAAGAAAAGCAGCCACUAUCGACCAUAUGCUCGCCCGAACAGCCUUGUUAGUAAACCAUAACGUAGGUCAGCCUAUAGGACAUUCUUAUGUGCAUCAUAUUGAGACCUAGCGGGGCUCACACGGUUCUUUGUAGGAGACUCACCCCUAAAGCAUCCCUACGUGCUAAAUGCUGCAUCUUUGAGGAUAACGUGGUCAUUUGACAGAUUGAUGUGGGGUAAAGCAUGUGUUUAGAAGUAAGGUGUGUAAAAAAAGAAAAAUCCAAAAAAAGAGUUUUGUAGUUUUUAGAGUUCUUUAUGGCUUUUGUUUUCCACAAUUCCACAAUUCAAAUUCAAAAAAGAUUUUUUUUACUUUUUGCGCUCAUUUUUCAAAAAAAGAAAAAAAUAUCAAAAAAAAUUUCCUUUUGUUUCCUUUAACAAGCAUUGACAAUUCGAAAACUCCAAAAAGAUUUUUUAGGAGUUUUUUAUAAAAUAUAAAAAUGCAAAAAAAAAAGGUGGUAGAAGUUUUGUACAUUUCAUAUAACGAAAAUACCAAAAAAAAAAUUCUUUCAUAGCUGUUGUUGUCAUUUUUUAUGUGAAGUGUCAAAUUGAAAACUCAAAAAAAAAAAAAAAGAUUUUGUUAUGUUGUUCAUUGUAUGUCUUUGGUCGUGUCUCAAGUCAGGGUGCAAUCCAUUAUUUAAUCAUUAAUUGUUCAAUCUGGACGAACUACGCACCCCUGAUUCUCCUCUUUCGGGAGUGAGAUACAUAGGCAGCCUACUGUUGGUUCGGGGAUCUUAUUUGAAAAAUUCAAAAAAAAAAAUUCACUCUCCAUUUAGAGUUGGCGUUUCAUAUACAUCUUUAAAAGAAAACUACAAAAAAGAUUUUUCAUUUAAUAGGUUCAAGUUUCGUUUUCAUAUGAAAUUCAAAAUCAAAAACCCAAAAAGAUUUUCUUUGGUAAUCAUAGGUUUCAUUUUGUAUAGGGAUGUUAAAGCCGAAGAAUUCAAAAUAUUUUCGUCAUUUCUUUUGACAAAUUUUAUUUUUCUUUUCUUUUUAAAGUUUCAAGAAAAAGAAAAAAAGAAAGAAAAAGAGUUUAAUCAGCCACUUAGGAAAGACUUCACGAACUACGCACACCUGAUUCUCCUCUUUCGGGAGUGAGAUACGUAGGCGCCCUUCUUGGGUUCGGUGAUCUUUUCUAAAAAAAAGGUUUUGAAGAAAAAGUGUUGAACUCUAACAUAUUUGUUACCUCUUGUUCAGUUAGUUUAAGGUGGUUGGUUUGUGGCUUCCUGGUUGGUCCUCCACAUCACACCAAAUCCAGGGAAGGGUUAGUUAUGUCCAACAAGGAUAUAGAGAGUGGCAUCGUGGAUGAAACAAAGAGUCGGGAAAUUGAGAGUUUAAAGAAAAAAAUUGAGACUGAGACAACAAAUGAUGAAAAUGUACCGAGCUUGGGCCAGUGGGUUGCCUCCACCUCCGUUCCCCACUUUUGUCCCUGCAAAUACCUUGAGUCUUCCACCAAAAUCGUAAAGUCAGUUUCUUACUGUUAUUGAUACAUCACAGCAUGCUGUAGAAUCCAUUUCACGUCAAAUGCACCCUAAUGCUUCCGCCUCUCAUUCUUUAGCUCCUCAAUAUAAGCCUACCACAUUCAUAGUACCACAUACCGUCAGUACUUUUAUUGCUCAACCUUCUACUGAGGCUUUCACAUUGCCAAUCAAUCCAACAGUUGUGUUGCCCCAAUCUACUAGUGGACCCAUGUUCAAGGCUCUUGAUGAUCAUUGCUAUAAUCUUGAGCCUACAGUUAAGUUAAGAGGAACGCCAAAAUUUCUUACCAAGAAGUCUAGCAUAACAGAAAAAUCAGAGAAAAUGGUGGGGAAAGUGAAGAGUGUAGAAAAUGAUAUGGAAAUUUUCCUGGACUUGUGGGUAAAGAAGAUGUUUCAUAUAAAGACUGGGGCAUGUCUUCAAGUAUCAGCCUUCUUCAAAGCUUUGAGAUAUCGAAAUUUGAGGAACAUGAUGGGCAGAAGGAUUCUGUGAAACAUUUGGGACGAUAUUGCAAUCAAUCCAGGGAAACUGAAGGAAAGAAGAAGGGAAACACACCUAUUGUCGUGCUAGGGCCAAAGCAGAGUUUGAGAGGUCCAACUCACCAAUACUGUCAGCCUCAAUCCCGAUCUUACAUAUCAAAUCCACUUACUCAUCUGCAACAAGGUGCCUCUUUUCAAAAUCCAAGUAGUUUCAUUCUACUUCCUCAAUGUCCUUUGAAUAAUGCACAAUUGUUUACUCAUCCAUCUUCUUAUCCACAAUGGUAUGCACCUGUCCCUCAACAUCAUCCUCAACCCCCACAAUAUUACGAAGGAACCUCUAAAUCCACGUUUCAUCCAAGGACAGAGUUCGC